rnacentral:lncRNA from 1 species
ACGGUUCAACAUGCCUGAAUUAUCAUUUCUUGGUUUGAACAAUAAUCACUUCAUAGGGACACUAUCCAAUGGAUUGUCAGAAUGUAAUCAGCUACAAUUCCUGGAUGUGAGCAACAACUAUAUGUCAGGUAAAAUUCCUACAUGAAUGCCUAACAUGACAUAUUUGGAUACUCUCAUCUUAAGUAAUAACUCAUUCCAUGGUCAGGUCCCCCAUGAAUUUACCUGGCUUCAGCUUUUAGACCUUUUUGAUAACUUAUUUGUUGGGUCCUUACUUUCUCUCAAAACCUCAAAAUUUCUCACGCAUGUGCAUUUGAAAGGAAUCAGAUUCACAAGAUCAAUACCAGAAGACUUCUCAACUCCUCAGAUUUGCUAACAUUGGAUCUUGGAGAAAACAGCCUUUCUGGCAAUAUUCCCAAGUCCUUUAGUGCUCUUUCCAACUUGAGGAUUUUUUCCUUGAGGGAAAAUAACUUUAAGGGUCAGAUUCCAAAUUUCUUGUGUCAACUGAACAAGAUAAGUAUGAUGGAUUUUUCUAGAAAUAAUUUCUCUAAGCCAAUUCCCCAAUGCUUUAGAAAAUUGUCCUUCGGGAAUAGAAGGUUUAAUGAGGAUGUGUUUAGACAGAAAUCUCUCUAUAUGGGCAUGGAAAGGUUUUUCAUCUACAUUAACAGAAACAGUCGUAUAAAGAGGGAUUUCUACAAAAUGAAUGAAAGAGGUGGUGAAAAGAAUGAUCACUAGCAAGAAAAGCAAGAUCAAUUUAAAUUUAUCACUAAGAACAAGCACAACACUUACAAAGGUGACAUCCUAAACUUUAUGUCUGGAUUGGAUUUUUCAUGCAAUAACCUCAUGGGUGAUAUCCCAUAUGAACUGGGAUAGUUGAGUUCGAUUCAUGCAUUGAAUUUGUCCUACAAUCACUUUACUGGAUUUAUCCUAAAGAGUUUCUCAAAUCUUUCCAGUCUUGAGAGUUUGGAUCUUUCUUACAACAAUUUGAGUGGAAAAAUCCCUUCAGAACUUGCUGGUUUAAAUUUUCUAGUCGUAUUCAGUGUGGCUCACAACAACCUUUCAGGUGAAAUUAUAGAUAAGAACCAAUUCGGGACAUUUGAUGAGAGCAGCUAUGAUGGUAGUCCUUUUUUGAUUGAGGCUAUAUAUUUUCAUUGCAUUGUCUUUUAGCAUAUCCUAAAGUGUCUUGUAUGGUGAAAUUUUGUGUCUUAUGUUGGUCAUUAUCUUACAUUGGGGCAUAUUCGCUCUUUGAGUUCAAUAGAUCUUCCAUUGACUUCAUAGUUGCUUGAUUCAUUUACUAAUACUAGCAAGUCAUUACACUAGGGCAUACCCCUCUCUGGGUUCAUCAUAUCUCCUAUUGAUUUCAUGGUCAUUUGGCUUGUUUAUCGAUUUUUACGAGUUAUCACCUAGGGCAUCCCCCUUUUUAGAGCUCUUCUACUAGGGCAUACCCCCUUUUCAUUGAGUCCAUUAUCUUAAUCGCUCAUUUUCUUAAGUCCUUUAGCUACCUUUAGUUACAGAUUGUUUUCCUUAGUUUCCAUUUCUAUUUUAGGUGUUCUCAGUUGCAGACCCUAUACCCCUACCUCUUAAUUUGUUUGAGGCAUUCCUCUUUUUUUAGUCUGUUUAAGCUAUUCCCUUAUUCUAGUUUCAUUUAGUAUACAAUUAUAGCUUAGACAUUCAAAGCCAUUUUCUCAAUUAGGCGUUUAGAGCCACUUCCUCAGCUUAAGCGCUCAAAGCCACUUUCUCAUUUAGAUGUUCAAAGCCACCCAUUGCGAAUAGGCAUGUAAGGUUACCCUUCUUCUUAUAGGCAUUCAGAGCCAUAGGCGUUCAGGACCAUAAGCAUUUAAAGCCAUAGGCAUUCAAAGCCAUCCCAGUAGUUACGUGUGCAAAGUCACUCUUCCUUUCAUAGGCAUUUAAAUCCAUUUCCUCCAAUUAGGUGUGUAGAGUCACCCUUCCUCCAUUGACGUUCAAAGCCAUUACUUUCUCAUUUAGGCAUUUAAAGCCAUCUUUCUUAGUUAGGCAUUUAAAAUCGUAGGUGUUUAGAGCCAUAAGCAUUCAAAGCCAUAGGCGUUCAAAGUCGUAGGAGUUCAAGGUCGUAGAUGUUCAAAGUCACUUUCUCACUUAGGCGUUCAGAGUUGUAGGCAUUUAGAGCCACCCCUUUCGGAUAGGUGUGUGGAGUCACCCUUCUCCUGUAGGCAUUCAGAGCCACCUCUUUCAGUUAGGUGUGUAGAGUCAUCCUUCCACUUAUAGGCGUUCAAAGUCAUUUCCUCAUAUUAACCAUGCAGAGUCAUCCUUUUCCUAUAGGCAUUUAAAGCCACCACUUUCGAUUAGGUGUGUAGAGUCACCCUUCCCUUCGUAGGCAUUUAGAGUCAUCCCAUCAGUUAGGUGUGUAGAGUUACUCUUCCCCUCACAUGCAUUUAGAGUCGUAGGUGUUCAAUGCUAUAGGCGUUCAGAGUCGUAGGCAUUCAAAGUUAUCUUAUCGGUUAGGUGAGCAAAGUCACCCUUCACCUCUUAAACGUUCAGAGUCAUAGGCACUCAAAGUCGUAGGCAUUCAAAGUCUUAGGCGUUCAGAGCCACCCCUUUCGGUUAGGUGUGUAGAGUCACCCUUCCCAUCAUAGGCGUUCAAAGUCAUCCCAUCAAUUAUGUGCAGAGUCACCCGGUCCUCCAUAGGCAUUCAAAUCCAUAGGCGUUCAGAGCCACUACCUUCUCACUUAGGCAUUCAAAGCCAUUUCUUCUCAUAAGCGUUCAAAGUUGUACGCAUUUAGAGCCACCCCUUUCGAAUAGGCUUGUAGAGUCACCCUUUUUCUUAUAGGCAUUUAGAGCUAUAGGCGUUCAAAGCCAUCCCAUCAAUUAGGUCUACAGAGUCACCAUUCUCCUCAUAAGCAUUCAGAGUCGUAAGCGUUCAGAGUCAUAGGCAUUCAGAGCUUUCCCAUUGGUUAAGAGUGUAGAGUCAUCCUUUCCCUCGUAGGCAUUCAAAGCCAUAGAUAUUUAGAGCCACCCUUUUCAAAUAGGUGUGCAGAGUCAACCUUCUUCUCAUAGGCAUUGAGAGCCAUAAGCAUUCAGAGUCGUCCCAUCGAUUAAGUGUGUAGAGUCACCCUUCCCCCCAUAGGCAUUCAUAGCCAUAGAUGUUCAGAGCCACUACUUUCUCAUUUACGUAUUUAGAGAUGUUACUUCCAUCCCUGUCCCAAACCUAGGGUAAAUGUAGACCCUCCAUUUUGUCCUUCUAGCUAGCACAUGUCCUAUUAUGUGUUCGUUUGGUACUUUACAACAAUUCCCUAGUGUCCCAUUAUUACUCAUGUAGCUUAUCUUUUAUGAGUCACCUUGGAGACUUUGAUUAAGAGAUUUAUCUAACCCCAUUGUGACCCUUGGCAACCCUAAUUUAGACUUAGGCAUUGUCCUAAACAUCUUAGACACCUUCCAGCUUGCACACAUUCACCCUAGGUCACUUAGGCACUUUUUUUUUUCUUUUUUCUUUUUUUUUCUUUUUUUUUUAAGAAUAGGUCACUUGGACCCAUUUUUACACACCUUGGCCCGCUUAGGUUUACCUAGUCUUGCUUAGGUCACCUUUCAAGUAUGGUUGCAUGGCUUGUAUGACUAGCAUGUGCUUGAUUUUUUAUUUUAUUUUUUUAUUAGUUUUAUUCAUUUACUUAUUCAUUUUUUAGAAAUUUGCAAGAAAAUUGAGAUUUCAGUUUUUCCUAAUUGCAUGAAUUGAUAUUUCAUAUAUAUUUAUAUAUUUACUUUACUUUAUUCAUUUAUUUAUUUUUGUAGGAAAUUGAGCUUCAUGAUUUUAAUUCUUUUAAUGUGAUUGAUAUUUUAGUUUUAAUUACAUAAUUUUAAUUUUUAAUUUUCAAUUACAAGAUUUUUUAUCCUAUUUUUUAAGUUUUUCAAAUUUUAUUAUUUUAUAAUAUAUAUGGUUACUAACUUCUAUUUUCUUUUGUUUUAUAGACAUGAUGUCACUUUGGAAGGUGAACUUACCAUUCCGAAAAGGAAAAGAACCCUACGAGCGUCACAUUUAAAGGACAUGAUUCCAUACACCGUUUGAGGAUUGAUUAAGUGGGCGGGUUGCAUAAUUCUCUGUAGAUACACAAACCUAGACAUUCUUUCUAUUCUUAUUAUUUCCUUUAUUUUCUACUCUUCCAUAUAUUCUCUGCAGGCUGCCAUGUAAAAAAUGGAAACAUGUUGCAUAUAAGAGCAAGGUCAACACACUGCCAAAGGAAAGGGUGGCAUACCUACCAUACAGUAGGCAUUCGGAAUCACAAUCGGUAGGGGAAUUCUUGGAAGGAAAAGACACUAUUUUGGAGAGAUUCAACAGUGUUUUGGGAAAGGAAAUCACGCUAGUCUAUGGAAAAAAUUUCAACACAGCUCAAGGGAGAUUCAAGAGGUUUGGGUAUAUUUUUUGGUCGGUGUCUUGUAGGAAAGAAGGGUGAUGUCCAGAGAAAGAGGAGAAGAAUGCAUAAUCACACUUCCAACAAUGCAUGACUAUCAUCUGGUGCAUUCCUCGAACCCGAAACCCUCUCUCAAUUCCAAACGCGUUCGGGAUUCAUUAUUUCUGCAAGUCUCGAUGCAUUUCGGUUUAUUAAAGGUUAUCCUUCCAUUCAGUUGCACCCCGCAGCCCACGUCCCGCAUGGCCGUGCAUGGCCACCUCAGUCAUAUGCUCUCCCGAACAUUCCCUCGACGACCAAACUUCCAUCUGGUUAUUUGUUUUCGGAGAUAACCAGAAGUGACGCAAACAAGUUAAUUGCUCUGAAUUGGAUGACCAGAUUACGGAGGAUCCAAAAGUGGCUGUCAGGCUUACACAAAGCAGUCGUUCUCUUUCUUCAAAAUUUAUAGAGAACAAGGGGUGUAGAGUUUCCCCAAGCAAGGAAGUUUUCUUACUUGUCGCUCUCUUUUUCAUGUGUGAGAUCUCCCGUAGUGUCGCUUUUCAACAGAGCGGCAGAAAAGAGCAUGUUAAAGACUUACAUUGUCCACGUAAAUGACCUCGUGGGUAAAUUUUCUGAACAAUCGGAGGGUUUGGAGAGCUGGUACCAGUUCUUUUUGCCGGCCAGCACUGAAUCUGAAAAUCAACAGCGGCGUUUGCUUUAUUCAUAUUGGCAUGUGAUUAGUGGGUUUGUAGCGAGAUUGACAAAGGAGGAAGUUAAAGCAAUGGAAAAGAAUGAUGCGUUUGUUUCGGCCACGCCAGAAAAAAUUUACGAUUUGCAUACAACUCGCACCCCUGGUUUCUUGGGAUUGCACAAUAGGUCGGGGUUCUGGAAAUGAUCCAACAUCAGUGAAGGGGUCAUUACUGGAUUAUUGGACACAGGAGUAUAUCCACAACACCCUUCAUUUAGUGACGAAGGAAUGCCGGCCCCACCUGCUAAAUGGACGGGAACCUGUGAAUUCAACAGGACGGCCUGCAACAACAAGCUCAUCAGUGCCAGGAAUUUUGACAGUCUAACCCCGAAACAGCCAUCUAUUGAUGUAGAGGGCCAUGGCACCCACACGGCAAGCACUGCCGCGGGAAAUUAUGUGAAGCACGCCAAUAUGUAUGGGAAUGCCAAAGGCACUGCUGCUGGUAUUGCACCUCGUGCUCGUAUGGCAGUAUAUAAAGUAUGUUGUUUACUUGGCUGCGGCGGAAAUGAUAUUUUAGUCGCAUAUGACGCUGCCAUUGAAGACAGUGUUGAUGUGCUUUCUCUCUCCCUCGGUGGUGAGUCUUCUCCUUUCUACGAUGACCCGGUUGCUCUAGGUGCCUUUGCUGCAAUUAGGAAGGGAAUUUUUAUUAGCUGUCCUGCUGGGAAUAGCGGGCCAGCCCAUUUUACACUCUCAAAUGAGGCACCAUGGAUUCCUACCAUAGCUGCAAGCACCCUGGAUAGAAGCAUAACCGUUAUAGCAAAGCUUGGAAACACGGAGGAAUUUGAUGGGGAAUCGCUUUACCACCAAGAAGGAUCUCCAUUUGCUACCAUAGAAAGUCAUCCAUUGGCGUCAGAGUGAGGAACACAUGCACCAAGGUGACUCCUUUAUGCCCCAUAUGUAUAUUCUAGAGGAGGUAAGCUAAUUUUUUCUAUAUUGGGUUUCAUUGGAAAAGUUAAAAUUUUGUUUCGUUUCGGUUUGGAUUCACUAUGUCAGGUUGAAAGGCUUUGAUUUUUUUUUAUCUAGUUUUAGUUUUGUUUUGUUAUAUCAAAUUGUGGAAGUGUGAAUUUCAUUUAGAUUUAACUUUGACCCAUUAUAUAAAGGUUCGAAUUUUGUUCAAUUUUAGUUUUGACUCAUCAUAUUAAAUUAAGAAAAUUCAAUUUUGUUUAGUUUUAGCUUUGAUUUAUUAUAUUAGAUAAUAAAAAAGGGUUUGAUUUCUAUUUAAUUUUAGUUUUGAUUCAUUGCAUUAGAUUGAGAAAGUUUGAGUUUUGUUUGGUCUUAGAUUUAGAUCCUAUUUGAGUAUAUGUGUUUUUUAGAAUUUUGGCAAAUAAAUUUAACUGGUCUCAUUUCAUUGUAUCCAUGCUACAAGUCUGUUAAUUUCUAUUUCCUAGUUGAUCAAAUUUGGGUUCAUGAGUUUGUUAGAUUUCCAUCUAAUUAGUUUAAUAGAUUCUCAUUUCAUUAUACUCAUAUUUUAUGCUUGUUGAUUUGAAUUCUUGAUUCACCUUAUUCUAGUUUAUAGUCCUUUUUAGUUAAUUAGUUUAAUUAAUCCAACACUAAUUAGUUUAUGUUUCAAAAAUUGUAAUUUAAGUUAGUGAAUAUAAUUGAUCCUAUGCAUUAAAGACUCUAUUUUAAAUUUGCUCUAGUUAGUUUCUAAUUCAUCGUUUUAGGUUUGAUUGUUUUUAAUUGAUCCUAUGUAUUAAAUUUGAGUGUUUUUAUAUAUUUUUUUUAGUUAGUCAAUAUAAUUGAUACAAUGUGUUAAAGAUCCUGUUUUGAAUUUACUUUGGUACAUUUCUAAUUCAUCUUUAGGUUUGAGUUUUAUUUAUUUAUUUAUUUAUUAAUAUAAUUGAUCCUAUGGGUUAAAGAUCUAGUUUUAAGAUGUGUUUUGGUUAGUUUUUAAUUCAACUUUAGGUUUAAGUAUUCUUAUAAAAUUUUAGUUUGUUAAUAUAAUUGAUCCUAUGUGUUAAAGAUUUGGCUUUAGAUUUGCUUUAGUUAGUAUUUAAUUCAUUUUUAAGCUUAGAUUUUAUUUUAAUAAUUUUAAUUUAUUAAGAAAGUUGAUUCCAAGUUUGAAAAUUCAUAUUUGUUUUUAGUUUACUUUAAUUUAGUUUGGUUACUCCAUUAAUGUCAUGUUUAAAUUAUUUAUUUUUAAAAAUGUUAGUUUAGUUGCUUUGUAGAUAUUAUGCUUAGUUUAUUUUCUUUUAAAAAUUAUAGUUUAGGUAUCCCAUUGAUCUUGAUAUUCCAUGUUUCUAUAACUUAUUGUUGUUGGCUUAUUGAUUUAAAUUGAAGGAUAAUAAAAAUAUUCUUAAGUUAUUUAAAUUUAGUUUCUAUUAACUUGUUUGCUAAUUUAUGCUUUUAAAAUUCCAUGUUUUAGUUUUCUAAAUCUAGUGUAAGCUUGUGUUCUAGGCUCUUUAUGUUUGGGUCCCUUUGAAUAUGUUAUUUUAUGCGUUUAUAGUCAUUUAUUGUUGGUUUAUUGAUUAAAGACUAGCCUAUGACUUGUGUGAUAAUUGAUGUUUUUGUAUACUCUUGAUCAUCUUUGCUAUGUUAUUUAGAUACCAAACAUGCUACAAUUCUUUCCUUUACUAAUUAUUAUUAUAACUUUGAUCUAACCCCCAUGUCUUGUGGAAGCACGUUAUAAGUUACCUAUGCUAUUCAGGUAUGCUUCUUACCUUCGUAUCUUAAUUCCAUAAAUUGUGUAUUGCUUUAUACAUGAUCAUUAUGUAUUGCUUUAUAUGCGAUUCUCAACCUGUUCAGUACAUCUUUUUUAUUGUUUGUUUAGCUUGUCAUGUUUGAUUAAGAGAUUAGGGUAAAAAUAAAUGUAUUUUUUUUUCCAAACUAACCAUUGAUGUCUUGUGAUAACACUUAAGAUGUAGUUCAGGUACACACCCUUUGACUCUCUUUUAUGAUCAUGAUUUGACUUUCUGGCUUGGCAUGUUAAUUCUGAAAUCACCUUAAUCUAUCUAGGUACCUUCAAUCAAUUAAUUAAUUGUCACAUUUCCCUCAACUUAGUCACUAGAGACCUCUUUAGGGCUUAGAAGGGUGCUACCUCUUAGAGGUACCUUCCUGAUAUGUAACCUGAUCCUCAAAUCAAGACUCGGGUUUUUCAAGACUUGCUUUUCCAAAAUUAUGGAGUCACUUCUUUAGGUUUUUCUUUCUUAUUUUAUUUCUCUUUUAAAAUAAAAUAAAAUAAGUGACGACUCCAACUUUUUUUAAAACUAAUUUUUCACCAAUAAAAAUGAGUUUUGCCAUUGAGUAGGGACGCACGUGAAAUAUGCGGGUCCACAGUAAGGCAAGGUAUGCACUCCCAUUCCCAAAUUUAAAUAGAUAUUAUAAUCCCCACCUCAACUCGUCUUACCUCAGGUAGGUAUUUUCGAGGUGGGAUGGGAUAAGGCCAGUCGGGUCUAUUCCAGUUUGGUAUAUUUUAUAAGAAAAGGACGUUCACAAAUUGGUUAUAAUAAAUAUUUUAAAUAGCUCCAAAUUUAUAAUACACCAAAUAUUAUUUACAAUUGCAAAUUUGAUAAUAACAACUUUCAAAAAUAAGGAAUCAAAAAAUUGAAAAUUAAAUCUAACGAAUCAAUGCUCUCUAGGUAACCAAAACUAGCUCGACCAAGCUAAAAAUAUAAUUCUCUUGCAUGCAUCUUCCUCUCAAUUCUUUUUUUUUUUUUUAAUAAGCUUUUUUUUUAUGUUGAGGACACUUCUUCACUACAUCAAAUAACUGCUCUGGUGAGUACCUAAUAACCAGAAACCAUGUUCACCUUAUCCCUCUCAUAAAAUGAAUGCACAAUGAUCAAAUAAAAUGUAGUGUAACUAUAAGAGAAAAUGGCAGAAUACAAAAAACUUUUUUCUUGAAUCAACAAUACCACACAAACUAGGUCCAACUUACUAAUUUUAUUUUCCAUUUUUUAAAUCUAAACAAAUUCAAUUAGAAUAUUAAAAGGUAAGAAUUCCAAAACCCUCUAGUAACCAACAAAAUUUAGUGAUAAACAUUAUAAAGUAAGAAAAGCAGAAGAAUGGAGCAAAAAUAAAAUAUCGUAUAAAAAACCUAGAAAUAAUUGAAGGAAAUUUUCCCAAUGUCAUUACUUGGUAGUUGAUACAAAAUCAAGGGGAAAAAAUGUGUUCAGUGAAUAAUUAUGGUAAAAAAAAAUAUGGUUUUACGGCAACAAUCACCUCAUGUUUCCCAUUUUACAACUAGUUCUGUGCCCAAUCAUAAUGGAUUGUAACAAGGUGUGGAAAUACAAGCCUACAGUUUCAUGGAAAAGUAAGAAGUUAAAUGUCCCUUCCUUUCUUUUGUCAAGAUAUCACUCUUUAUUAAAAUAUAAUAAAAAUAUUUUGGGCCCUAGCUGAAAAACACUGAGGUUGUGUUCUAGAGAGAGAGAGAGAAAGAGAGAGAAAAAUGUAACAUGUGGGUCCUCGAUGGAGAUAAGAAACUCCUACUCUUUAUUUACAAACCUAAAGAGAGGACAAAAUUAAACAAAGAACUUAAUAAUUAGAGAUGGAUCCCAAAUUAAGACUAGAAGAAAAUGGGGAUUGGUUGACAUCAUAAAGGUCUUUUCUUUUUUACCCUUUGGUAUUUUUCAAGAAGAAGGUUCCUGGCCCACUGCAUGUUACACCAAUAUCCGCAAUGUUCAAUUUGUGUCCAUAAAAGGCAAAGAAGUUUACCUAUAUCUAGAAGUAACAGCUUUAUUGAAGUCUUGUCCCCCCCCCCCCCCCCAAAAAAAAAAAAAAACCCAAAAGCUCAAACCUCUCAAAGUGAAGAUAUAACCAUAUGAAGGUAAUGCUAAACAAAAUGAAAUUCAUGUCCAUAUGCAAAUAUACCUAGACUUACAAAUGAGCUAGAUUCUCAGCAUCAAACCACUUUCCACUACAUAUGAUUUUAUCGUUCUUGUGAUAUCCAAUUGGAAGAAGGCAUCAAGAAAACAAUAAUCAUUUCCUACCCUUGAGGAGUAUCCUAAUAUGCAAAGUUACUACAUGCAACAAUGGUGAAAGCCCUCUCUUGUACCUUGAUUGAUUAAACCUUAAGUGCUCGAUCACAAACUAGAAUUUAAAAAAAAAAAAAAAAAAAUUACUAGUCCUAGUUAACUCAGUACAUCAUAAAUUAAUCAUUCCAGAAUCAACAAAACAUGUUUAUAGCUAGACUACAUCUACAUUGUUCAUAAUGUUGCUCUCAAGCCAAUUCAGGGACAAUCUUGUGAUCAAGUAAAGAUUACACCCUUUUCUAUGGCAAAAUCGUGCACACACAACUGUGAACUUCAUCGGAUGAAAAUUUAGAGAUGACUCUGGUAGAGCACAUGAAAAAUAAUUUCCAUGCCAGAAUAUCAUUCAGUUCGAUAUAUGCACCGCAUAGUUAGGAGUCGAAACCAACCAUUAAGAGAACAAAAAAGAUGAGAGUUUAUUAUGCUUUGGAAUAAAAAAAAUUAAAAAUAAAAAGUUAUGCAUGUAAUGAAGCAUUAGAAAAUGACAUUAAUUUAAUACCUCACACUUGUUAACAAAUAAUUCAAGCGUUCGGUCAAGCUAAGUUUUAAUCUAUGUCAUUUUGCCAUUGGGCUCAUCACCUCAAGAUGGUUUAUGAUGAAAGUAGGAUGUAUGAGAGUUUCUUUAAGAAAAUGACCAAUAAGUUGCACACUAAUCAGAUUCAGUGCAAUAUCUAGCAUUUCAAACUGUUGGCUAAUACCAUUUAAAACAAGCUUAAUUAAAAAUUUUAAGGCUUUUAAACAGGUUUUUUUUUUUGGUUGCCCAAAAAAUGAGGGAGAAUAAAGAGAAGCUCAAAUUUAUAUGCAAUUAUUUAUAGACAGUAUCAAUAUGUAUAAGAUGUUACCUUGUCUAACAACUGAGUUGUGGUAUGAGAAGGAGGACACUUAACAUCAAACCUUUGCCACACAUCCAAUAUGUAUUUGUUAACAGCUUCACUAGAAAGAUCCUUGGGUAUACUAAGGUUUGCCAUCCUCUCCAGCUCACUUAUAAGAUCGAUCCUUCUAUGGUAGUUAGGCAAAAUCAACUAUUAGAUCAUUUAAAGCUCAAAUUCUGCAUAUAAAAAUGAUGGUUUUCACUUUAAUACAGCUCAGUAGUCAAUACAACAAACUUAUAUACUUGAAAGGUGAAGUGAAAUCAAUAUUUAGAGGUUCAUUGUCCAACCCAUUAGCAUGUUAUUUUAUCCUUGAGCUCCAUGUUAGCUCCUUCACCAUUCCUGAAUAAGUAAUACAUCAAACAAUAUAACAGAAUAGAAGACAUGUUGAUACAUAUCCUUGUGUAGUUUGUAAGUUGUAUUGAAUGUAGGGUGCUUACCUAAUAACAACUGCUCUAUUAGUUCCAUCAAGUCAUUAUAGUCUGCAUGGGCCAUGCAAAGGUAAAUUCCUGAAACUUGUAAAAAAAAAAAAUACACCGUAGUGACUUGAACUAAUCCAAGCAUAAGAAUAUCAAUAAAUAGUAAGAUUAUAAAAGAAGCACAUACCUCGGCUUCUAGCAAUUGCUUUGACAAAGAGGCCAAAACAAAAAUAGUAGCCUCUCUUAUCUACUAAAAUUAACUUUGAAAAAUUGAGUUGUAAAUAGAAAAUUAAAAUGGAUAAAUGAAAAAAAAAAAAAACACACACACACACACAUAAAAGGGAACCUUAAAUUGGAACAAAUUUCACAAUUUUUCACUCAUAUCACAAAAGACCACAGAAUAAGUGAGAUUGAUAGUGAUUAAUAGUUCAACAUACAAGACAAAUUAUUGCACAGAUUAAAGCAAUCAGCCAAUCACCAAUAGAAGCUUUAUAGUACAACACGCAUAGACUUGCUCUGCCCAACAAAGAUGUCUUUGUAAAACUACAACAUCCAAAAUUAAAAGAUAUCCAUAAUUAUAACAAUCAUUAAAAAGAAAUUGUUUACAUCUAAAAAUAUAUCUCUAAUAUCAUCUCAAGAAAAAAAAAAUUCUAAAACACAAAUUAAUCAUCAUCUUCAUCCAUGAUUGUGAGUUGGAGCCGUGAGUCAUGACUUGAAGAACCACCUAGUAAAAAAAAAACCACAACAAAAAUAUAAGUAACUUUACUAAAUAUUUUAACAUAAAACCAUUCAUAAAAUUGAUAAUAUUAUAAAUUGGUUACCUAUCAUUUCUUUCCAUAACCAACUUUGAGCACACAUUAAGGCCUCCAAAGUGUCUAAAUGAAACCUGCUAUGAUAUUUUGAUACCAUCUUACCACUCAUACUAAAUGUCAACUCUGAUGUAAUUGUAGAUACUAGAAUAGCAUAGAUAUCUCGAAUAAUCAUCUACAAUGUCAAAUAUCUUAUACCAUUUGUCUUCCAUCAACUCAAAACAUCAUAAUCUGAAGUCUUUGGUAAAAUAGACUCCUCUAAGUAAUUCUAUAACUCCAACUUCAUAUGACUUUCUCCAAUGGUACUAUGAACAAAUAAUUUAAACCUAGAAAGAGGAUCUUGCUCAUCAUAAUUCAACUCCAAAAGAGUUUAACCUGAUGAAGUACCAUGUGAUGAAGUUUAUUGACCUAACUUAGACUUUGAUUGGCACUCAAAAAGCAACUCAUAACGUAUUUGACAAGCUUUUUCUAUCUCAUUUGAAGCUUCAAACUCAUACAUUAUUUGGAAGUAAAACUCUAAAAUUUUCAUUUUGUAUCUUAGGUCAAAUAUAGUUGCAAUUGUCAUCACAAUAUGACACCCACUCCAAUACUUGUCAAAUUUUUGCAACAUACUUGAAGUCAUCAUUCUCACAACAUCAUUUGAGCAAAUCAACUAAUCAUACAAUGUCUUUUUUAUCUCACACACUUUGAUGAAGAAAGUAUUAGUAGUGGGAUAAUUUCAUCUCACAACAUCAUUUGAGCAAAUCAACUAAUCAUACAAUGUCUUUUUUAUCUCACACACUUUGAUGAAGAAAGUAUUAGUAGUGGGAUAAUUUCAUCAUGAGAACAACUAUGUUAUAUUAUAAACAAUUUCAAUCUUCCACAUAUUUCUUUUGACAUAUUCCAUUCUUCCUCUAAUGGCACAAAUAUGUAGUGUUUCUCACAUUGCUUUAAAUGUGGGAAUACGUCUUCAUAUGUUAUAGUUAUUGAUAACAUCAAGUAUAUAUGUAAAAUUCCAUCAUGUUUUUCAAUCAAGACUUAACUUCUUAUUACAUGGAAUAUGCAAUUGGUGAGCCACAUCUCCAAACUUUUCCACUUUUGAUGGUGUUGCCAACUAAUAUACAACACUCUCACGAAUUUUUUCAAUUUCUACUCCAAUGACAUCCAAACCUUCCUUCACAAUUAAGUUCAAGACAUGUGUCGCACAUCGCAUGUGAAAAUUUUUUUAAUUCAAUAAAAGUGAACCGCUCAAAGAUAAUUUCUCCACAAGGAUAUUAAGCAUUUCAUCAUUACUUGAGCAAUUAUCCACGAUAAUUGUAGAUACAUUUCUACCCAUAUUCCAAUCCAAUAAGAAAUCUAUUAGAACAUCUAAAAGAACUUUUGUGUGUGGAGGAAACACAUAAACAAACCUACAGUAAAUAAAUAUAAAAAAACAUAUAAUUAAUACAAGCGAUAUCAUUAAAGGAUCGAAUAAAAAAACACUUAUGAAGUUUAAUUGCUAACCUUACAAUAUGAUAUUGUAAUAACCAAGACUCGUCAAUGUAAUGUACAGUGAUAGUCAUGUAGCCUUUCUUCUAAUUGGAUAUCUACAUAUGUUGUAAUGGCAAUUCUACUUUCAAGUUUCUCUAAGUAGCUAAUCAUUUUCCCUUUCUCAACCUCAUAAAUCUUCAGUAUGACACCCUUAAAUUGUAUUACAGAAAACCAUCUUAAAUAAAGAUUGGAGAAUAGUAGCAAAAUCUCUAAAUCUCACAUGGUCAAUAAUUGAAAGUGCGUACUCAUGCAAUAUAAUUGCACAUGCAAGCUUCUCUCUUGAGAUAUCUUGAUCAAAAGUAAAACCACCAAUUUGAACUUUUCCAUGACCUUUUCUCUCUACUACUAAUAAUUGUUGCCUAAUAUCAACAUUUCUUUAUUUCAUACACCUAGCUAUGUGUAUAAGCAAAUGUUUUGUUUCAUUCUUACUAUCAACCUUGAGUUUUUCUUUACAAUGCUUAUAAAUAGCAUAAUUUUAUCCAUCUACUAUGACUUUCUCAAAAUCAUUUCAAACAACUUAUGUCAACUUUCCUUUUUUAGAUGCCAAUGUUUCAUUAGUAGUUGAAGUACUACUUAUAACUGGAUUUGAACUAGCACUUGCAAUGGAAAAAAAUUUCCCUUCUUUGGAUGUCAUUUUUUUUUAAUAUGAAAUAAAACCUAUAAUUAAAACAUUCAAACUGGUCACAUUCUAACCAAUCAAUGGCUCUUAUUUACAUUCAAACCAACCCAUGUAAAUCCCACACAGAUAAGCCUUUGUUACCUUGAAAUAAUCUUAUAUAAGUGUUACAAAAGAACGAAAACAAGCAAUAAGAAACAAACAGAAUAAGAACACACAUUUAAGUGAAAAACCCUAGAUGAGGAAAACCAUGGACAGAGGAGAAGAAAAAAUCAACUAUGUCAAAAAUUGGUAUUAAAUGGGAGAAAUGUGAGCAACUACUACAUAGGCAUAAACAUCAUAAUUUAGCUUCACAUAUUGAACCAAAUAGAAUUCGAGUCACCAAACUCUAACAAUAAGAAAUAGAAAAAAAAAAAACAUAUCAUCCCAAGAAAUAGCAAAAUAAAAAUGGGUACAAAUUUUGAAAUUACAUAGAGCAAUGUGAAAAAUCCUUCUAAGAGCAUAAAAUAGAGAAAUAAGAAUCCAUCAAUUUAAUAUUCUCUUUUUCAAACAUAGAACAAAAAUUAUGAUUCAAACUUUCAAUUCAUUUCCAUUCUUUUCCCACACUUUCUCAAAAACCAAACAAAAUAAAGAAAAAAAAUAAAAAAAAAGGAUACAAUAUAAUGGUGCAAUACAUAUAAAUAUGGAGCUACUAAAUUCCAAAUAGCACUAAAAAGAAAUCUAUGGGAAAUGGAAAAUUUGAAAAUAAAUAUGAAAAAAUAAAUUACCAAAAAAAUGAAUAUGAAUUUGAAACUAGGGUUAGCGCAAAGAAGAAAAUUUUAUGAUUGAUGAGUUGAUAAAGGGGAGAUAAAAUCAUUCAUUGCUUCCAUGCAUGUGAAGCCACAAAAUCAAAUGGUUUUGGCUUUGCCAACAAGAGAUUACAUGGAGAUUUCAAGCAAGAAACAAGAAAGAGGAAUAUGUACAAGCAAAACCUUGAAAUUUAGGGUUUCCUUAACUAGAAAAGAUGAAUCCAAACAAAAUCAAAGACCUUAGUCCUUGAACUUUAGUACCCAAAGUGAGCAUAGGCUUAGUUUUCUUCAUCUUUUGAGAAAGCAGAAAAUGAAUCCGGAGGGAUCAUCUUCUUAAGAAAAUGUAAGGCCUAUCUCUGCUUCUCUCUUAAUGGUGAAUCUCUAAGUUAGAAAAUUUUUGAAUUUGGAAAAUCAGUCCUGGGAAAAAGAUGUCUAAGAAGAGAAGAUGUUUAAAUAAAGGGAGAGGAACCCUAAAAAAUAAAAGAGGAGGCAAAUAUUUAUAGGAGUUUUUUGGGAUUUUGUAACAUGUAAAGGGUAAAUUUGUAAUUUCACAUCUAGAGUAGGGCGAGAUGGAUUAUUACAAAAUCCGACCCCACCAUGAACCCAAUCCAAGGUUUAAAAAAUAAUCCAAACCCAUCCCAUCUCUUAAUGAUGUCUGGUUUAAGUGUAUCUUCUUUUUUUAGUGUAAGUAAUUUUUAUUUUUUUUAAGUGUAAGUAAAGGCGAUCCCACGUCUAAAAUUUAAGAGAAAAUAAAGCUUUGUUUAAUGGAGAAGGUGCCCCCCAAUACUACCCUAUCAACCUUGGCUAGUGGGGUUUGGUCUAUUGAUUGGGCUUGGGUUCAACUGCAGGCCCACUACACAAGAUUAUUAAAUUUUGGCAUUGAACCUAAAUUAAAAAUCUAGAGAGCAAGAUUUUUGUCCUAAUGAUUCACAGUACAUAAAAACUUAUAAAGUUUAUUUGAUAAUACUUUUUUUAUAAUAUCCUUUCGUCUUUUUAUUUUUAACUAACAUAGACCAAGUCAUUUAAGAAAAAUAAGGAUGAUGCUUGGGGAAUAACCAAGAUAGCUCAACUAGUAAAAUAGAGGACUGAGAAUCCUCAUGCCCCUAGUUCAAAUCAAUAUAUUGUAAAACUAUUAUUACAAAUCUAUGCAACAAUUGAGACUGGAAAAUUCAUACAUCCUAUUUACUUUUUACUUUAUGAGAAGAUUCUUAUCAAAAGACGAUACCCAAUCGAUAUAUCUCCACAUUUCAAUCCUUGCUUUUAGCCAGCUUUAUAAUCUUCUGUCUUUUAAACCAUACAAAACAACCACCAAAUUAUUUUGUUUUAUAAAUUCUCUUUGGUCCAUUGUUAGUGCAAUUCAUACCGGAGCCUACAAUUGUUGACCCACUGUACAGACCAGGACGUGUCUUCUCUCUUUCCAUUAGUUCAUGUUGACCGGUGCAAUUACUGAAAACUGAUACAAGAGCCAAUACGGCCAGAGAUAUUAGUUUUCUCAAUGGUUCUCAAUUUUUUCAUGGCUGUGUUUUGGUCAAAAAUACUUAUGUAAACACAGCCUGAAGAAUUUUCAAUAUAAUUUGGCACAAGAGAAAUUGAGUUCAUAUUGGUAAGACAAUUAGGACAACUGAUUACAAAAAUUUCCACAACAUAAAGGUCUUCAUGGAAAAAAUUAUCUUUUCAUGGAAAAAAUUUAUCUUUUCAUGGAAAAAAAUAUAAUUUCCACAUGGUGGGGGACCUUUUCAUAAAAUUCAUCCUUCGAAUCUUUGAAAUUUUUUCAAAUACCGUUUUUAAAAUAUAAUUUAAGAAUUAUAGUCCUCGUGGAAAUAUGAACUCCAAAUGGUGGGAUUUUAUUAUAAAAAAAUAUUUCAUUGAAUCUAUUUGAAAUAUUUUUAAAAUAUAAUUUUAAGAAUUACUAAAAAAGUUGGAGAUAUAAUAUAAAAAAUUUUAAAAUAUUUUUCAUCUUCAAUUAUUGCUCAAAAUAUUUGAGAAAAAAUAAUUUAAAAUACCUCAAAUAAUUUAAAAUUUUAUUUUUUUAAAAUAUCCUAUGUAAGAGUUUGCCAAAUAAUUAAGUCUUGUUUGGUAACUAUUUUUUAAAAUAGUUCUAAAAAAUAGUUUUUGAUAAUAGUUUUUUAAAAUUGUUUUAUAAUGUUUUAUAAAACAAAAGGUUGUUUGGAACCUAAAAUAUUUUUUAUCUAUUUUUAAUAUUUUAAAUAUGUUUUAAAAAUACUUUUUAUGUCUAAAACUUUACUUUCAAUCAUUAUAUAUAUUUACAUAAUUAUCUUUUAAAAUAAUUCUAAUAAAACUCUUCAAAUUGAUAAAUGGUAGUUUUUUUUCAUUCAUACUUUCAUUCGUUCAUGUACAGAGUAUAUAUAGAGGGUAAUCAUCAUUCUAAGAAUGGGAAAUAAUGAUACAAGGAAAUAAUGAUAUAAGGAAAUAACAACUAAUAUCCUAAUAUCUCAACUUUUCUAAUAUCUCAACAUUCCUAAUAUCUCAACUUUCCUAAUAUCUAAACAUUCCUAAUAUCUCAACACUGAAUGAUAUAAGGAAAGAAUGAUAUAAGGAAAGCAUUCCUAAUAUCUCAACACUCCCCCUCAAGUUGGUUCAUAGAUGUCACACAUGCCCAACUUGUCUAAAAAUUUUGAGAACACUUGACUUGAGACAACUUUGGUGAGGAUAUCGGCGAAUUGAUUUACUGAUCGAAUCUUAGGCAAUUCCACAAUCUUAUCAUCCAACUUUUCCUUAAUGAAGAAUCUAUCCACCUCAACAUGCUUUGUACGAUCAUGUUGUACUGGAUUAUGAGCAAUGUCACAUGCGGCUUUAUUGUUACAAAACAAUCGAAUUGGUUACCUAGAUAGGUAACCUAAAUCCUAUAAAAGAAGUCUUAGUCAUAAUGCCUCACAAAGUCCUAGAGUCAUACCUCUAAAUUCCGCUUCUGCACUUAAACGAGCGACGACAUUCUGCUUCUUACUUUUCCAUGUCACAAGAUUACCACCUACAGAGGUAAAGUAACCAAAUGUAGAUCACCUAUCAUCCACUGCACCUGCCCAAUCAACAUCAAUAUAUACUUCUAUACUCUGAUGAUCAACAUUUUUAGCGAACAAAAUUCCCUUCCCAGGAGCAUUCUUCAAAUACCUCAAAAUACGCAUGAUUGCAUUCAUAUGUUGCUCUCCAGGAUUAUGCAUGUAUUGACUCACUACACUCAAUGUAUAAGCAAUAUAUGGUCUUGUAUGAGCUAAGUACAUUAAUCUCCCCACAAGUCUCUGGUAUCUUCCCUUAUCGGUUGAUACUUGAUUAGGCUCAACACACAAUUUCAGACCUUUUUCUAUUGGUGAAUUAACAAGUUGACAUCCCGACACUCCAGUCUCUUGUAAAAGAUCUAAGGCAUACUUUCUUUGAGACAGAAAAAUUCCUUCACUUGAUCGAGAAACUUCAAUCCCAAGAAAGUAUUUCAGAGGACCUAGAUCUUUCAUUUCGAAUUCUCUAGAUAGAUAAUUUUGCAAAGCUUUUCUUUCUUCAGGAUCAUUUCCUGUAACUACCAUGUCAUCCACAUAUACGAUGAGUGUCGUAAUCCUACCAUGUUACUUUUUCAGGAACAAAGUGUGAUCUGAAUUACUUUGACGAUAGCCAAAAGCUCUCAUUGAUUUUGUGAACCUUUCAAACCAUGCUCUCGAGGAUUGCUUCAACCUAUACAAUGAUUUCUUCAAUUUGCACACCUUCUGACAUUGCUUUUCUGACACCAUGCAUCCUAGUGGAAGAUCCAUAUAUACUUCUUCAGAUAACUCGUCAUGCAAAAAGGCAUUUUUCACAUCGAACUGUUGUAAUGGCCAAUCUAGGUUUGCAACUAAAGAUAGUAAUACUCGAACUAUGUUGAUCUUAGCUACAGAUGCAAAUGUCUCUAUGUAGUCAAUUCCAUAAGUUUGAGUGUACCCUUUUGCUACCAAUCUUGUUUUAAAUCGUUCAAUACUACCAUCUACUUUGUACUUCACGGUAUAGAUCCAACGACACCCAACUGGCUUCUUUCCUGGUGGACAUUCUACGAGUUCCCAUGUUUUAUUCUUCUGCAAUGAUUUCAUAUCUUCAUUCAUGGCUGCUUUCCACAUUGGAUCAGCUAAGGCUUCCUGCACACUGUUAGGAAUAGUUAUAGUAGAUAAUUGAUUUACAAAUGACUUAUUUGAUUCAGACAAACGAUGGUUAGACACAUAGUUGCUCAUACGAGACCUACAAUUGUUGACCCACUGUACAGACCAGGACGUGUCUUCUCUCUUUCCGUUAGUUCAUGUUGACCAGUGCAAUUACUAAAAACUGAUACAAGAGCCAAUACGGCCAUAGAUAUUAAUUUUCUCAAUGGUUCUCAAUUUUUUCAUGACUGUGUUUUGGUCAAAAAUACUUAUGCAAACACAGCUGAAUAAUUUUCAAUAUAAUUUGGCACAAGAGAAAUUGAGUUCAGAUUGGUACGACAAUUAGGACAACUGAUUACAAAAAUUUCCACAACAUAAAGGUCUUCAUGGAAAAAAUUAUCUUUUCAUGGAAAAAAUUUAUCUUUUCAUGGAAAAAAAUAUAAUUUCCACAUGGUGGGGGACCUUUUCAUAAAAAUUUAUCCUUCGAAUCUUUGAAAUUUUUUCAAAUACCGUUUUUAAAAUAUAAUUUAAGAAUUAUAGUCCUGAUGGAAAUAUGAACUCCAAAUGGUGGGAUUUUUGUAUAAAAAAAAUUCAUUGAAUCUAUUUGAAAUAUUUUUAAAAACAAUUUUUAAAAUAUAAUUUUAAGAAUUACUAAAAAAGUUGGAGAUAUACUAUAAAAGAUUUUAAAAUAUUUUUCAUCUUCAAUUAUUGCUCAAAAUAUUUCACAAAAAUAAUUUAAAAUACCUCAAUUUUAUUUUUUUUAAAUAAUUUUGUUUCAAUAUAUAUAUAUUAAAUAUAAAAAAAGUAUCCUAUGUAAGAGUUUGUCAAAUAACUAAGCCCUGUUUGGUAACUAUUUUUUAAAACAAUUCUAAAAAUAUUAGUUUUUAAAAAUUGUUUUAUAAUAUUUUAUAGAACCAAAGGUUGUUUGGGAACCUAAAAUAUUUUUAAUUUAUUUUAAAUAUUUUAAAUAUGUUUUAAAAAUAAUUUUUAUAUCUAAAACUUUAUUUUUAAUUAUUAUAUAUAUUUACAUAAUCAUCUUUUAAAAUAAUUCUAAUAAAACAAGUGAAAAAAAAAUGUCAAUUUUCUACAUAUCUCGGAGAAGACUUAGCAAAUUAAAACUCAUAAGGGGGAGGUGAAGGUGUUCUUGGAACUCAAUGGAGGGCUUGUGGAAUAGGAGCCGGAUAUGGGCUUCGAUGAUUUUGAUUCAAAGCCAGGCAUACAAGUGUAAAUCCCUUAAAUAAACUUUAGGGGCAAAAUAGUAAAUUAUAAAUUAAUUAAUUAAUUAAUUAAACUCAUUAAAGAUAAAAGAGUCAUUUUACAAUUAAUAAUCUAGAUAUAAAUUAAAUUUUCCUCUUAUCUUCUUUAUUUAGAAAAUUUUAUUAACCAAAAAUUAGAUAAUUGGAUAACGUACGCUAAAGGUUUGGAGGUCUAGAGUUUGAAGUUCAGAUUUUUUUUCAGGUAAGAUUCUAACCUUAGAUUAAUAUAUUAUAUUCGUUAGUUAUUUUUUAAUAUAUUAGAUAUUCUUUAGAAAAUUUUAAUCUAGAUUAAGGUUAAUUUAUUUUAAGAUCAAAAUAUUGAAAUUAUGAAUAUAGGUUGUUUUAUUGAUGAAAAUAGGGAAAUUCAAAAUUUUUUUAAAUGAAUAGAUCUAAACAUUGAAAUUUUAAAAAUUAAAUAAUAAAUAUCAAACUGUGAAAGGCAAAGGGUGGUAGUGGAAUAAAUUAAAAUAAUAAUAAUAAGUAGAGUUAGUGGGGUUGUUGGAGUUGUUAAAAGUACAUGGGGUAUUUUGUUAAGUAAGAGGGGAUAUUGAGAUUAAUAAUAAUAAUAAUAAUAAUAAUAAUAAUAAUAAUAGUUAGAAUUGUGUGAUUUGGAUGCUUACGAGUGAUGUACAGUAAAAUUGUUUGGGUGUUGUUGGGUAUUGAAAAAUAUAGUAAUAAUAAUAAUAAUAAUUUUUUAAUAAAAGAUUUAAUUUAGUUUAAGUAUACAAAAGAAAUAAAUUGUUAUAAUAAGAUUCGGAAGAAAUAUGAGUUUAUAAAAAUUUUGAAAAUUCAUUAAAUUAUAUUAUUAUUGUUUAAGAAGUUGAAAAUGAUAUUGGGUGGUAAUAAUAUUAGUAUGAAAAAUUAAUUAGGAUCUUUAAUACUAUAUAAAAUAUUAUAUAAAAUAUUUUUAUAAUUGUCAAAUUUUUACCUUUAGAUAAUUAUGUAUGAUAUCAUAUUAAGUGAGAGAUAAAUUCAUCAAACUAAAUAUUUCAAGUUUUUUAGUAUCUCUUCUAGGUAAAAUGAAUGCACAAAGAUCAAAUCAAAUAAAAUGUAGUGUAAACGAGAGAAAAUAGUAGAUUACAAAAAAACAUUUUUUCAUAAAGAACACCAUAUAAACAUUAAAAUCUAAACAAAUUCAAUUAUCAUAUUAAAAGGCUCAAAUUCCAAAGCCCUUUAGUAACCAACAAAAUUCAUUGAUGAACAAAGUAAGAAAAGCAGAAGAAUGAUGCAAAAAUAUAAUAUCGCAUAACAAACUUGUAAAUAGUUGAAGGAAUUUUUCCCCAUGUCCUUACCUGCUAGCUGAUUCAAAAUCAAGGGAAAAAAAAUGUGUUGAGUGAAUAAUUAUGGCAAAAAAAAAAUGUGAUUAUAUAGCAACAGUCAAAUCCCGCUCUUACAUAAAUUUUGAUAAUAUGUUUGAUAUAUAUGAUAAAUGAUAAACGCAUUUGAAUGAUUCCUAGUACAUAUAAACUUACAAAAUUUAUUUGAUAACACCUUUUUUCUUUUGUAAUAUUCUUUCGAUUUUUAUUUUUAAUUGACAUAAAUCAAACCUUGUAGUAAAAUAAGGAUAAUGCAUAAGGAAUGGUCAAGAUAGCUCAACUAGUAGAACUAAGGACUGAAAAUCCUCGUACCACCGGUUCAAAUCGAAAUAUUGUAAAACUGUUAUUACUAGGGGUCUCCAAAAAGCCCGCGGCCCGCGGCUCGCUUUAGGCCCGGCCCGGCCCGAGCCCGUUUAUGGGCGGGCCGGGCCGCGGGCCUAAAUUUAGGCCCGGCGGGCCGGCCUGUAGGCCCGCCUUUAAUUUUUUUAAAAAAAAUAAUAUAUUAUAUUUUUAUAUAUAUAUAACUAAUUCAUUUAAUAAGCACAAAAGAAAUGUAGUUCAGUUGGUUAGAGCCUUGAAAUUUAAGCUUGAGGGGGGAGGGGUUCGAAGCCCCCCUCUUCCUUCCUUUAUUUAAAAGCCAUUUUGGCUUAUUUAAAAAAGCCCGCGGCCCGGCCCGCCUGCCAGCCCGCGGGCUCAUAGGCCGGGCCGCGGGCCUAGCAUUUGAGCUCGGCCCGGCCCGGCCCGCCCGUUGGAGACCCUUAGUUAUUACAAAUCUAUGCAUUCUAUUUACUCCAUGGAUAAAUCUCCACAUUUCAAUCCUUGCUUUUAGCCAGCUUUAUAAUCUUCUUUCUUUUAAACAAUACAAAACAACCACCAAAUUAUUUUGUUUUAUGAAUUCUCUUUCUUCCAUUGUUGGUGCAAUUCAUACGGGAGCCUACAAUUGUUGACCCACUGGACAGACCAGGACGUGUCUUUUCUCUUUCCAUUAAUUCAUGUUGACCGAUAGCUGCAGUCGCUUAAAUUGACCGGUGCUAUUAUUUAAAGCUGACACAAGAACCAAUUUUUUCAUAGCUGUGUUUUGGUCAAAAAUACUUGGAUAGACACGGCUGAGGAAUUUUUAAUAUAAUUUAACACGAGAAAUUGAGUACAGUUUGAAAUUGGUAAGACAAUUUGGACAACUGAUUACAAAAAUUUCCACAACUAACAAGUCUUCAAGGAAAAAAUUAUCCUUUUCAUGGGAAAGUCUUCAUGGAAAAAAAAUUUCAUAGCUGUGUUUUGGUCAAAAAUACUUGGACAGACACGGCUGAAGAAUUUUUAAUAUAAUUUAACACCAGAAAUUGAGUACAGUUUGAAAUUGAGUUAAAAUUGGUAAGACAAUUUGGACAACUGAUUACAAAAAUUUCCACAACUAACAAGUCUUCAAGGAAAAAAUUAUCCUUUUCAUGUGGGAAAGUCUUCAUGGAAAAAAUUAUCCUUUUCAUGUGGGAAAGUCCUUUUCAUAUGGGAAAGUCUUCAUGGAAAAAAUAUCAUUUCCACAUCGUGGGGACCUUUUCAUAAAAAAUUAUCCUUCGAAUACCUCAAAUUUAUUUAAAAGAACAAUCUCUUUUCAAUAUAUAUAUAUUAAAUGUUCUAUGUAAGAGUUUGCCAAAUAACUAAAUGAGUAAGAAAAAUAUUUUCUAUAUAUAUACUUGGCAAUUAAAGAGGUGAAGGUGAAGGUGUUCUUGGAACUCCAUGGAGGGCUUGUGGGAUAGGAGCUGGAUAUGGGCUUUGAUGAUUUUGAUUCAAAUCCAUGGAUAUAAGUGUUGUCUUGAAAAGGAGAGGAUGGGUCUCUUGGAAUUCAAGCGGUUCCUGAGAUCAAAUAAUGAAGACGCAGAUCGGCUUCUUCCUUCAUGGGUUAAUGAUGAGGAGAGUGACUGCUGUUAUUGGGAGCGAGUCGUCUGCAACUCUACAACCGGCACUGUAACCCAGCUCUCCCUCAACAACAUACGGCAAAUCGAAUUUUAUCAUCGAGUUUAUGGUCUGGCGCCGCCGAAGAAAACAUGGUUUUUAAAUGUUUCAUUGUUCCAUCCAUUUGAAGAAUUGGUGAGCCUGGACCUAUCUGAAAAUUGGUUUGCUGACUCCCUUGAGGAUCAAGGUAUAUUUUUUCUCUCUCCUUCUUUUAGAGUUUUGUAAUGAUCAUGAUUUAGCAUUUAAGAACUAUUCGAAUUCUUCCUAUUCAUUCCAACAUUUAUUUAUCUUUAAAAUCCUUCUUGAUGUUGAUUUUCAUGGUUUUUUAAACUGAAAGGACCCACGGGUUCUUGUUUUUUCUUUUUUUUGAAAAAAAAAAUACAUACUUUUAAAAAUUAUUUUUUUGAAAAUGAUAAUCGAAAAAUAUUUUACAAUCUACAAUAAUUGAAAACAUAACUUUAAUUUAAGUAUUAAAUUUUUAAGUUAUUUUUUGUAAAAAACAACUUUCAUUUUUUAAGAUUAAACUUAAAUUUAAGUUAUCGCUUCAAAAGAUAACUUUUCAACAAAAAUUCUGAUACCGUAAAAAAACAACUUUUGAUUUAAGUUUAUUGCUUCAAAAGAUAACUUUUGAGCUAUACCUCGAAAAAUAUUAUAAAUUUAAAAAUUAUGAUAUUGUAAAAAUACAAUUUCUCCCCACAUGAUUUCUUUGAUUAUACUCUUAUUGUAGGCUUUGAAAAGUUGAAGGGUUUGAAGAAGUUGGAGAUGUUAAAUAUUGGUCAGAAUUAUUUCAACAACAGCAUUUUUCCAUCUGUGGGUGCUCUCACAUCUCUUAGAGUUUUGAUUCUUAGAGAAACCAAAUUGGAAGGAUCUUAUCUUGACAGAGGUAUGUUCAAUUCAAUUUUCAUAAAAGAUGCAUUAUGAAUAUUAGCUAGUGAGGCAUAUAUCUUUCCUUGGUUUUCAUUAAACUAAUCUUUAUUUUCUCUUUUCUUGGUAUCUUUCUCUUUAAUAUCCACUUCUUAAAUUAUCUUCCAUGUCCUACAUUUAGUUACAUAAAAAGAGCAAAAGAGAAAAAUGUCAAAGGGUGUAAUGUUUUCUUUUCUUGGUGUCUCCAUUUUGUUCUUGGAAAUCAUGUAGUUUUGAUAAAUUAACUUAAUGACUUAGUAAUUUAAUUUAAUUUAUUAAAUAGAUUAAACAUAUUAAAUGAAAUAAUUUAAUAUCAUAUAUAGUUUAAAUUUUAAAAUAAUUUUUAACUAUUAAGUUAAAAUGAUUAACUUAUUCUCAACCUUAAAUAUCUUUUGUCUUAUUUACCCAUAUAUCUUUUGUCUUAUUUACCCAUAUCCAGUGAGAGUUUAUUUUACAAUCAUGACUUUACAUCCUUGACUUGUAGUUAUUUUAUAUAUCUACAAUAGUUUUAAUACAAAUAUUUAAUAAACAAAUUCAUUCUUUAAGAUUAAUAUUAAUUAAAAUUAAUGAUGAUAAAUAUUGAUUAAAAUCAAUAAAGGUAAAUAUACCAAUUUGAUAAUAUAGAAAAAAAAUUAAGUUACUUUUAUUUUAAAAAAAAGGCUUAAAUUAAAAAUCAAACAAUAAGUUUUAAAUCAACUAAUUAAACUUAAAGUUAACUUUAGGUAUUAAGUAGUAAGUAAUAAGUUUUAUUGAACACUCUCUUAAUAUUUGGAAUAUAUAUAUAUAUAUAUAUAUAUAUAUAUAUAUAUAUAUUAACAAGGGUUGUUUGAUUAAAAAAGAUAAAACAAUCACAUAUUCGAUUGUUUGUUUUUAUUGUUUUAAGACUUAAGACAUUUUUAAAGGCUUUUAUUUUUUAACUAAUCACAUUUUUUAAAGAUUUUAGACACAAAUUGAUCUUAAAGAAAAAUAUGCAGUCCAAUCAAGAUUUUAUUAAUUUCAAGAAUGGGGUAAAAUCUCUAGUUAUUCUUUUGAUUCUUUUGAUAAGAAAUUUUACUUGGGCCUUGACUCAAUUUAGACCUUGGCAUGUCUUGGUCGAGACUUGGGCUUUGGCGUAUCUUUAACUUAGGUUUGGACUUUAGCAGGUCUUAGGUCAAGCCUAAACAUUGGCUUGCCUUCAAUAUAGGCUUGGACUUUGACGUAUCUUAAGCUAAGCUUGAACUUUGACUUGUCAUCAACAUGGGCUUAGACUUUGGUGUGUCUUAGUUUGGGCAUGAACUUUGGCUUAUCUUGACUCAAGCUUGAACCUUGGUGUGUCUUAGGUCAAACUUAAGACUUUGGUGCUACUCACUUUCACUGGUCGGCAUAAAUGCUUGAUCUUAGAUUAAAGACACCUCAAAUUUGUUCUUUAGAUCUUUGAAGGCUUAAUCUUAAGAUUUAUGAAGUCUUGAUCUUCGAAUCUUCAAAUCUUAAAGGCUUUGAAGAAUUCCUUGAAUUCUUGAGGGAGUGUGGAAGUCUUCUCUUCUCUAUCCAUGUGAUUUUGAAAGCUAAGGAUAUAGAGGUUAAGAGGGACAUGUUUAGAUAGUUUUCCUUAUACUUUAUAGAUAUAUAUUAUUCCUUAAUUAAGUUUGACAUUUGAAGAUAUUUUAAGAUAUAUUUAGAUAAACUUAACCCUUGAAAAAUUAUUCUUUAAUUUAAAAUUAAUUUUAGGAAACUUGGCAAAGCAUAUUUGGAAAUUUUAUAAUUUAUUUUUUAAUAAGAAUUUAUACUUACUUUUUCAUUUAUCAAAUUCGCUAUUUUUAUUUAUUUUGAUAAGUAUAUUUUACUUACCAAAAUUUUUAUUUCGAUCUUUAUUUAAUUUGAACACAACUUGUCCUCCUUUCAUGUGGGCCAUGUGACAUGUGUCACAAUUUGAUUUGAUAGAAUUAUUGCCAAGUGAUGAUUUUUAUUUUGUUACACUUAUUUUUUAUUGUAUAUUAGUUUGUGACAUGUGACAAUUAAUAAGUGAUUAAAUUUUUUUACCAAUCUACAAAUGCUCCCUUCAAAGUUGUUCAUGGGUAUAACUUCCAUGUAAAGAGUGAACAAAUUUUUAAAAAAACUUUAUUAAUGGAGUUCAUUAACAUAAUUUGAGUGGUAUUAGAACUCAUCUAGUUUGAAAUAUUGACAAAAUUUGAAAUAUUUUCCAAAUUGCUUAUGUACCCAAAAAAGAUCAAGUCAUAACAUAGUUGAAAUAAAUUUUUCUCUUUUUUUUUUCACUUUUUUAUGCUUUUUACUUUAACUUUUAUCAAGCCUUUUCUCUAUUCAUCUUGUGAGCAUGUCCUAACUUUUGCCUAUGUUUCCUUUCAAGUUUUUAACUUAACAAAUAUUAUUUUUCUUUUGUGACAUACAUAGUCUAAGCUCUUGAAAGUCAAAAGAUGAUUUAUCCUAAGUAUUUUAAAGAACAAAAGAAAAUCCGUUGAAUGUGUUUUGAUAUUAAGCCUUGAAGGUGGAUGAAUGAUAAUUUUGUAUUGUAUUUGAUAUUCUUUCAUAAGAUUGAUGAAGAAUUAUGUGUGUCAAACAUAGACUUGAUUUCUAUGCAAGGGGGGGAAACACAUGUUCUUAGAACAAAUUUUAAUUGAGAUUCAAUGAUGACUUGGUGGUUGGUAUCCCAAGCUCUAAUAAGGUGCAUGCACCUAAGAUCUUACGCAAAAGAAUUAACAGUUAUUAAAAUUUUAUAAGGUGUUUACAGUAAUAUACCUAGAUUUGAAUGUUCUUAAAACAUCCAAAUCAAAGAAGCUUUCUCAAAUACCAAGCUAAUCUUCCACCCAAUAGCUCUUUUAUAUCAUGACAUGAGAAGUGUGGUCUACUCUUGCUAGAAGGUAUGGUAGUGGCUAAGGUUUCUCUCCAAUGAAUGGAAGAACAAAGAUUAUAUAACCAUAAACCUAAAAGGGUUUAUAUAGACAGAUAACUAGGCUUAAGUGAUUAGAACCCGUUUAAUGGGCUUAUGCCACUUAAUUUAUAGCCCUAAUGGAUCCUAUUUAAUUAAUUAAAUAGCCUAAGUAGAGACCAUAAAUCACUUAACUAUAGACACUUAUACAACUUUAUGCUUAUGCAAAAUCACUUACGUGGUUAUGCUUAUGCACACUCAUAAUUAAAUAUAUAUAUUUCCCUUAAUCCAUGUGCUAAUGUGAGCUCAAACGGGGACAAUUAGGACCCAAAGGAAAACACUGACUUCCUUGGAUUCAAAAUUUUGAAGUUGACUUGACACUCCAUUAAAGAGUGUCCAUUGUGCUCUAGUAUUCUAUGACAUUAAAUUAAUUAUUAGUUAAUUAAUUUCUUGGGUAUGUGACCUACUAUCAAUUGCAUGUAGAUUCCCCAUAAAGUGAUGUCUAUAAUCUAACAAGGUAGUAGUUAUCAACCUCUUAAGAUUAACUCUUAAUUUUUAAGUCUUAGAUCCACCUAUAUCAUGAUCAAUUGACAUGUUCUUAUUCAUAAAUAAAAUGUCAAAAUUCUACCAAAGGAAUUACUAAGGUCAUAGAUUUCAGAUUUUAAAUCCUUAGAAUCACCCAAGAAGAUAUAAUAUCUCAAAUCCAUGAGAUAUCAUAGUGUCUUUAUUAAGAAUAUUUGUUCUCACCCGCCUAAACUAUCAAUUGUCUGAUCUAUAGGGAAUAUAUGAUUACUCCUAGACCUUGCUCAUAGCUCAAAGUCAUUGAUGACUUCAGCAUUUAUGCAAUAUUCUUUUAAGGUUGAAAGUCUAUCCAACAUUCUAGAUUGGAGCACUCAUGACUACCUGAUAGUCAUUUAGUAACAACCCUUCAUAGGUCCUAUCCAAUGUGUAAUCAUAUACACUAAUACACUCAUUAUAGGAAACUCAUCUUGAUAACCAACAAAAGGUCAUCCCACCCAUUAUGAGGCAAUGCACUAUAGCUUCUAAUAGAUAACCUAUGUCCAUGAACUAGUUGUGAACAAACUCAUCAACUUGUAAGGAACUCAAGACUUGAAUAUUCCGUAUAACUCCUUAUGCACUCAACUCGUUAAAUGAGAACUGAUACUCACCUUUUCACUUAUCAAAUUCACCAUUUUUAUUUAUUUUGAUUAUUAUAUUUUAAUUAUAACUUAGUUUUUUAUUUAAUUUGAAGACAACUUAUCUUCCUUUUGUGUGGAGUCAUGUGACAAGCGUCACAAUUUGGUUUUAAUAGAAUUAUUAUCAAUUGAUUUUUAUUUUGAUACACUUAUUGUUUUCUUCUACAUUUUUUAUGAUGCAUGAUGAUUAAUAAGUAGUUAAAAAAUUUUACCACUCUAUAAAGACGAUUUUUUUCUUAAUGGAAAAGGUUUUUUUUUUUUUUACCUUUUUUAUAUUAAGGAAAAAGUCACUUUUCAUUUACCUUUUGUUAACCUUUGGCUUUGUUAUAACAUUCAAAUUCAAUUUCUCAUACAAAAUAAAAUUAAAUUCAUUUUUUACCAUUUUAAUAAUUAUAAUUUUAAAAACAAAUUAAACUACCUUAAUUUUGUGCCAUUUGAAUGAGAAAUGCACUUACUACAAAUUAGUAAAGUUUUCAUCAAGAAAAAAAGAAAUCAAAUAUGACUAAAAUAUAAUUUGCUUUUGUCUUUUUUUUUUCUCAAAAAACAUUGAAACAAUUUUUUUGCUAAGUUGUUUCUGGAAAAAGGAAAUUGAUAACAUAUAAAUCACUUAGCUUGGAUAAGAGAUUAAUAUAGGCAAAAGCUAAACCAAAAUUCUAUCACUUGUAGAUUUUUUUUGUCUUAUAAUUUAUCCAAUUCUCAACAAAAUUAAAUUUUUGUAAUUCUAUAAAUUCUUCAUUAAAAAAAUAAAAAUAGACAAUACUAAAAAUAAAAUAAAAAUUCAAUUUAAAUUAUAAAAUAAUUUACCAUGCAAUUUUAAUAUUUCAUUAUUUUUAUUUUAUAAAAAAAAUAAUAACAGCAAUUCCAUUGAUUUUUUUUAAUUCAAAAUUCAAAACAUAAUUCACACUCUACUAAAAUCAACAAUUGUAGUUAAUUUUAAAAAAUAAAAAAUUAGGAUUUGAUACUCUUUCUCAAAUUAAAAUCCAAAAAUUAAUGAAUUAAUUCUAACAAUUAACAUGUAUUUCAAUUACAAAUCCAUAAAUCUAAAGACACACCAUAUAAAACACAAGUGUUAGCUUGACAAGUUUCUAACAAUUUUUUAGCAAUCUGGAUUAUUAGAAAUCCUAGUUAUUCUCCAAUUACCAAUAUUCUUCUAAUUAUAUAAUUGAUCAUUUUUAAAUUUUUAUUAUAGAAUAAAUUAUGAUAUUUUGGGAUAUUUAGAAAUAUGUUAAAUUACUAUUUUUUUCAAAUUAAAACAAAAAUAUAUAUGAAUUUAUUUUACAGAUAUUUUAAUAUGUAAAGACAAAUAGAUUUAACACAUGUAGUAUUUAAACAUUAAUAAACAAACACUUUAACACUUAACAGUAUUCAUAUACUAAUAAAAAAUAAUUAUAUUUAGUUGAAAUUAGCUAUAUGUAAAAAAUAAUUAUAUUUAGUUGAAUAUGACUUAAAUUUAAGUCAAAUUCAAGUCUUUUCAGAUUUUGUUGAAAAAAAAAACCUUAAGUUCAUAUUUUAAUCAAGCAAAUACCUUUUUUUUUCUUGGUAUGUUAGCGUAACUUUCUAAAAAAUACUAUGAACAUUUCCUAACAAUGGCUUUUAAGACCCAUCUUGGCCAAAAGAGGAUGAAGAAAGCAUAUAUGACCCAUCACUUCUUUUAGAUCUUUUCUUAACUAUAAAAUUGAUGAUCAGUCCUAAACAAAAGAGUAGAAAAAGCAUGCAUGAUCUCUUUCUUUUACUAAUAUCUUUUUUUUUUAACUAUAUAAUUGAUUAUCUAUAAUUAAAUCAAUUUCUUUUUAUUAACAUUAUAUUUAUCAUGUUUUCUAGUUUAUGAAAAUUUCAACCAUUAUGCCUCUAACAUGAAACUAAGUAGUUAUGUUAUUUAAGAUACAUUCUCAGUAGGACUCACUGAUAUAUUGUGGCACUGCUUAUAUCUCUUUUGUUGAGUUCUUCUCCUAAAGUUUUGUAUUUUUUAUUUUUUAUUUUUUAUUUUUUAUUUUUUAUUUUUUAUUUUUUAUUGUUUUAUUUUUGUCUUUGUUGCAGAUUUAGCUAAUUUAACUAACUUGGAAGUGUUAGAUCUUGGCCAAUCAGGAUCUAUGAAAAUGAAAGGUAUGUUAUAAAAAUUUGAUUAUGAGCCUCUUACUAGUUGUGAUCCAUUUCAUUUGUUGAUUCUAGGCUUUGCCACUUUGAAGUUAUUUCUUGAGCCAUCAUUUUGUGAUGUUCUUGUAGCCCAUGCCAAUUUUGUGAUUCGGAUCCAUUAUUGGCUUCAACAUUACUUACUAUCCUAAGAUUUAGAAAACCAAGUGGUUGCUAAUGAAGGGAGGCUAAAGUACUUUUUCUUUUUGUAGCAUUUGAUAUGACAUCAUCAUUCCUAGGCUAAUCAUCCCCAUAGUUUACAACACCCCAUCCUUAUGCUUAUUGGACCCAAGAUUUUACCCAUCUCAUGAAAACACCAAUUAGAUAAUGAAGGUUAAACCUAUUUUUAUGGUGUUUAACAUCAUAUCAUUAUAAGGCUUGGCACACCUAUCAUGGAGCUUACAAAAAACAUACCAUAUAAGGGCUUGCAACACAUCUAUCCUCAAAUUUUACCUCACUAGGGUUUACAACAAGAUUUAACCACCUUAGGGCUUACACACCCAUCCUAUGGAUGUUUCUCAACCUAUCAUUUCCAAGAGGGUGACAUCAAAUACCUAACACUUGUGAACCUUUUCUACACAAAAUGAAAAUCAAUUUCAAUAUACUUAGUUUGUGCAUAAAAAAAAAUGAAUUAAAUUGAUAGGUUACAUUCAAAUUGUCACACCUCAAAACCAAAUCAUAUUGUUGUGAGAUGUAGAGUUCACUUAGCGACAAACACAGAUUAAGGCUCUUUGAAACAUAUUUAAAUUACACAACUUCCUUUAUCUUUUUAGAGGUUCCUUAUGAAAUGAAAUUAGGUCAUGUAAAAAGACAACGCACACCAUUGGAAUGUAUUAGAAAAGUCUAUACAUAAAUGAUUGCUUUCCAAAUGGAUUUAGAAAGUGGCAUAUAUUGAUACCACUACUAAGCCUUAUAAGCUUGUGGAGGGAUAAGUCAAAGCCCACAUGUGCACAUUAAGCCCAAGAUUACAAAAUGAGUAUUUUUUUUUAGUUUCUUUUUUUUUUUCUUUGACCCUUUCAACAAAGUUAAAAGGAUUUUAUUUUAGAUCCUCUAUUUAUUGCCAUAUUUAGUGUCUGAAUCAAGCCUUGAUUUUUUAGAUUUUGAUUGCAAAAUUAUGGCAUUAAAGCAGCAUAAGCUUCAUAUUAUCAGUCUAAAAGUAUGUAGAGAUAAAGUUUAUAUAUAUAUAUAUAUAUAUAUAGAUAUAUAUAUAUAUAUAUAUAUAUAUAUAUAUAUAUAUAUAUAUAUAUUAUUUUUAGAUCCAUAAAGAUUAAAGCUUCAAUCUCUUUCACCUAGAUCUUAUUAGAUUAGUACAUCUUGAUUGUGUGGGUAAUCAAAUCUUGAGCAAGGUGGGAGAGGAAAAGAAUGGGUUUGUAGCUACUAGGGUUUCAAGUCUUUUCCAAUAUAGCAUAAUAAUGCUUUAUAUAGACCUUAGGGGUUAUUGUGAAAUAACCAUGUUACCCUUAAUGAGCCUAGUCUUAGCUUUAGUCCAUAUGAUGCUCCCAAGACCACUUGGUCAAACUUAGUCUUCCAAUGAACACACAUGAAUAAUAGCUAGCUUGAGUAGAGACCACUAUGACCCAUAAAAUGAUUCAAUCCCAUGGACUUAGUAAGACAUUAUUUAAUAAUUAAUCUCCACUCGCUAUAGAAGGUUAAUUGCAUUCCAACAUUUUAUGUAAAUUACAUGAAGAAAUUAAUUAAUUAAUAAUAUGUUGGAUCCAUGACCUACUAUUUCAUUCCAUAUGCUAUCUAUGAAUUGAUAUCCAUAAUUUAGUGAGGAUUUCCUAUCAACCGAUUAAAUUGCAUGUAUCUUGAUUCCAUUGAAUUACAAAUUCAUCUUUUCUAUGAUCAUUUGAUAUUUCCUUAUUUGUUAGGAUAAAAUAUCAAGUUUCCAACUUAAUGGAAUUACCAUGGUCAUGGAUUCAACUUGAUAUUUCACAUUAGGAUUACUCAAAGGGAUAUGAUUAUUUGUAAUAAGAUAUUAAUUAUGGUAUCUGUAUUGAGCAUUCAUCUUACUAUAUGUUGAAUAAAUGAUCAUCUAAGAUCACAAGAAUAUACUACCACUAGAAGGUCUCACUCUUUUGCAACUCAAAUUGGUGAUUAACCCAUACAUGAGCUUUAUGAUCUCUCAUAUUAGAGCAUUUCCAAUAUAGCAGUAGCUAGGAUAUAUGCAUUUCUAAUCAAUGCAAACCUGACACGCAUCACCAUAAGUCUUGUUCAGUGUGCAACACAUGCAUAUUAGCAAAUUUACCUUACAGACUCAAUUUAAUGACCAAGACAAGUCAUUUUACUAAUUAGGGAGGUAAUAUAACAUAGCCACUACUAAGUUGCGCAAACUCAUGAACUACUACAAACAUACUUAUCAAGCCAUAAGAGUCCUAUGUUUAUGCUCUUUAUGUAUCCACGUAUACCCAAACUAUGAUAAUUGAAAUGAAUACUCGUAAUGAAUGAAAGAAGAUGAAUAAAAAGGUAAUUUAUUACCAUUAAAGAUUUAUCUAAUAGUCUUAAGGGUGAAAAAGUUAGGCCCAAUGCUAUUUUUGACAUAGAAUGAAAGAAUAUGAACAAAUUAAAAAAGCAAUUGCUUGCAUUAAGCAAUGGAUUGUUAUAGCCUUAGGUCAUCAAGUAGAAAAUGAAACAAAUGCCUAUAAUCUUUGGAAAAAGUUGGAGUCAGUGUUUGAAAAAAAAAAUUGUUGAGAAUAAAAUGUUCUUGUAGAAGAAGUUAGUGAACAUGAAGUUAAAGGAAGGAACUCUAAAAUAGAUCGCUUAGAUGCUUUUUCGAGUAUUGUAAAUCAAUUGGUUGAUAUGAAAAUAGUGAUAGAUGAUGAGAUGCAAGCCUCUUUAUUUCAAUGUUCACUGCUAAAUAAUUAGCUAACUUUUGUUGUACAUGACUAUCAGUAACUUUAUUUUGAAUAGUGCAUUGUUUAUGGAACUUCUAAAGGGAAAUUUAUAUAAAGAAAAUACAAGAAGGAAGACUUUUGACAGAAAAUACAAAAGGUAUCAUCAUAGAAAGAAGAGGAAAAAGUAAUAAUAGAAUAAAGAAAGGUCAUGACAAGUCUAAGGGAAGGUCUUAAUCCAAAGAUAAAAUUAAAUCUUUUCAUUAUGAUAAACAAUGGCAUAAAAAAAAUCCAUAUUUAGAAAAGGAAAUUGAAUAAGCUGAAUAAGAAAAAUGAAUAUGAUAAGAGUACCACAACCGUUGUAUGUAAGUGUGAUGAAGUUUUAGUACUCUUAGAUGAGUAUUUGCAUAUAGAUGAUCAAGGAGUUGAGUGACUUGUAGACAAUGUAGCCUCCUACCAUGCUAUUCACUUAGAGUUUUUUUCUUUAUUUACUACAAAGUUGGAGACUUUAACAUAAUUAAGAUGAAAAAUUCUAUUCACUCUAAGAUUAUAGAAAUAUGUGAUGUUUACUUUAAAACCAAUGUGGGAUGUAAGUUGACUUUGAAAGAUAUAAGGCAUGUUCCAUAUUUAUACCUUAAUAUGAUGUUUGAUAUUUGCUUUGGAAAAGUAGGAUUAAGAAAGACACUUUGGCAAAGGCAAUGGAAGCUCACUAAGGCCUCAUUGGUUGUUAAAAAAUAAUAAUCAUGUUUCACUUUGUACAAGACCCAAAGAAAAGUAUACAAUAAUGAGUUAUAUGCUGCAAAAGGUGCUUCCUUGGAGUUAUGCCAUAAAAGUUUGAGGCAUAUGAGUGAGAAAGGAUUUCAAGUUUUAGUAAGGAAGUCCUUAGUCCCUUAACUAAAAAGGAAUCAUUUUCUUCUUAUGGUCAUUAUUUAACUAGAAAACAAUAUAGAGUUUCUUUCGGCAAUAGCUCUAAGAAGAAGUUAGAGAAGUUAAACUUCAUAUGCUCUGAUAUUUGUGGCUCAUAGAUAUGGAAACUCUUAAAGGUAAAGGUAUAGAUUUGUCUACUCAGGUCAAAUGAUCAAGUUUUCAAUAUUUUCUACAAUUUCAUGUCAUGGUUGAGAGACAUACUGAGAAGAAAUUGAAGUACUCAAGUUUGAUAAUGAAGUUGGUUACACCUUAAGGGAAUUUAAAGCUUACUGCUCUAAGAACAGUAUUAGGCAUGAAAAAACAGUCAUUGGUACUCCAAAACAUAAUGGGUUAGCUAAAAGGAUGAAUCACACCAUCAUUAAGAAGGUCAAGUGUAUUAUAAAGACUACAAAGUUACCUGAGUUGUUUUGAGGUGAAGCUACUAAAACUACAUACCACCUAUUAAACAUAUCCCCAUUAGUAGCAUUGAGCUUUGAGGUUCGAGAAGGCAUGGAUAGGAAAAUAUGUUUCCUAUUCUCACUUGAGAGUCUUCAUGUGUACAAGUUUUAUGCAUGUUCCCAAAUAAUAGAGAUCUAAACUUGAUGAUAAGGUAGUCCCACAUCUCUUUUUUGGUUAUGGUGAUAAAGAAUUUGGAUUCAGAUUAUGGGAUCCAAUCAAAAAAAAUUGGUGAGAAGCAAGGAUGUGGUCUUCCAAUUGAAUCAAACCUUAAAAGAUUUUAACAAAGCUAAAAAGUCUAAAAUUACAAGUGAUGCUUUCAUUAAAUUUGUUACUUGUUCCUACCUCAUCAUAAAAGCCUAAAAAUAAGGAACAUGAAGUUGAUGAGUUAGUAAGAGAUGAUGGUAUAAGAGACACAUCUGCAUAAGAGCUAGUUGAGCAGGUAAAGCAAACCGAGCAAUCACCUCUUCAAAAGAAUUUGCUACCUUAGGCUAUGAGGUUUAUUAGAGAUCACUGUCCUUCUAUCAAAUAUCACUCCUUUGAGUACAUGUUAGUUAUUGUUGAGGCAGAGCCACAAAGUUCUCCAAAAGUCGGGUCUCAUGAGGAUAGUGGUAACUUGUUGAGAGCUAUGCAUGAUAAGAUGGAUUCCUUCUAGAAAAAUGAAACCUAUGAGUUGGUAGAACUUCUUAAAGGAAUAAAAGAAUUAAAAAAUAAAUUUGUCUUCAAGUUGAAAAGGGAAAACAUUGGAAAGCUAGUAAAAUAUAAAGUUGGUUGGUUUUUAAGGCCUUAAGCAAAAGAAUGUGUGGUUUUUUUAUGGAAUUUUCUCCUCAAUAUUGAAGAUGACUUCCAUAAUAAUUGUUUUAAGGUUAGUAUCUAGUUUGGAUCUUAAGCUUGAAGAAAUGAAUUUAAGGAAAACUUUUCUUCAUAGUGAUUUAGAGAAAGAAAUCUACAUGGAACAACCGUAGGGUUUUGCAAUAAAAAACAAAAAGCACUCGGUUUGAAAAUUGAAGAAGAUUUGUUAUGGGUUGAAGCAAGCUCUAAGACAGUGGUGUAAGAAGUUUGACUCAUUCAUGAUAAGCCAUGACUCUCUAAGAACAAAAACAUAUCCUUGUAUCUAAUUUAAGAAAAUUCUGGGUGAUAGUUUCAUGAUGUUAUUAUUAUAUGUUGAUAACAUUCUUAUUAGUAGGCAAGAUCCUAAAUUGAUUCGCAAGUUGAAGGAGUUAUCAAGUGUUUUGUACAUAAAGAUUUGGGGGACACUAGAUAGAUCUUGGGGGUGCAAAUGACAUGUGACCUGAAUUCCAAGAAGUUAUGGUUGUCUUUGUAAAAAUAUAUUGAGAAGUUAUUUGAAAGGUUUAAAAUGAAAUAAGCUAAGAAAGUUAGCUCUCUUCUUAGUGGUCAUUUCAAGCUUAGCAAGAAAUGUUAUCCUACUUCUAAUGAAAAUAAAAAGAAGAUGGAAAGUAUUUCUUACAACUGGGAGUUUAAUGUAUGUCAUGGUAUGCAUAAGGUCAAAUAUAGCUCAAACAGUUGGAGUUGUGAGUAGGUUCUUGUUUAGCCCAUAAAUGUGCAUUGGAAAAUAGUAAAGUGCAUCUUGAAGUACUUAAGAGGUGGCAUAAGUAUGUGGUUAUGUUUUAGGGAAUCUCAGACGGUCUUCGAAGGGUUUAAAAAGGCAUAUAUAGCUGGUGAAAUCAAUACCAUGAGAUCUACAUUUGGGUGUGUUUAAUCACUUUUACAUGGGGAGUUGUGUUGUGGUAGUCCAAAUUGAAAAACUAUGUUGCUUUAUGCACAAUAAAAUUCAAAUAUAUAGUUUCCAAAAAAACAAAGAAGGAAAUAUUAUAGUUAAAGCGUUUUCUUUAAGAACUAAAUUUAAAGUAAGAUGAGUAUGUGGUUUAUUAUGAUAGCCAAAGUACCAUGGAUAUAAAAAAGAGUACCAUGCAUCAUUCUCAAACCAAGCAUAUUGAUGUGAGACAUCUCCAUUAAGUACCUAUAACCGCUAUGGUUUAUAGUCAAUAGUUCUUAACUAACCCUUUCUCGUCGAGCUUUAUAAAGCUUUAAUAGAGAAUAAGAGUAAGAAAGAUCCUUGCUUCAUUAUAAAUUGACCCUAAACCUAUCAUUGGUUAAGGGAUAUAGUUGAAGAAAAUGUAGCUAAGUUGAAAAAGAUUCACACUAACAAGAAUGCCUCAUGCAUAUUAACAAAGGUUGUUCUCAAGCAAAAGCUUCAAUUCUGCAACUUGUAUGGUGACUUAAAUUCCAUAUGAUGGAGUUAUAAAUCGGGAUACCUACCUCAUGUGUUAGAGGAGAAGAUUAUUUGGGUGGGUUUAUCUAACCCAUGAAGAGUUUCUUAAGCCUAUAUAUUGAGCAAUUGUUUUUUGUUCUUUCUAGGUCCAAAUAUAAGUAGCAUAUGGGUUUUCUUUUGGGGAUGCCAAAAAUCUAAAAAUGGUAUAUUGUGAAAGAGAAAAAAUGAAACGAAAAUAAUGAUUUUUUUUCUAGACACUUGUUUAAGGCUCAAGAAUGAAUGUGAAGUCCUUUCAUCAACCUUUUGGAAAAGAUCAUUUGGUAUAGUCUUUUACUCUCUUCCCAUUCUUUGUGUUUCUAAGAUGAUGGAUUCCCACAUCAAGCACUAAUAUGUGUUUUAACUAGUUAUCUAGGUAAAAAAGUACUUAGUAAGUAUUUGUAUUCUUUUUUUAUUGAAGUAGAAGAAAUUUUCCCCAUGCCUUUUUAUCUCCUUUAGGAGGGUUUUCCACAUCAUAUUUGGUGUCUUUUUACUUAGAUAUUUAGUUUUACUAUUUUCUGGCAUAUGAUUUAAUUAGAAAAUAAAUGACAACUAAUUAUUAAAUUGUACAAGUACAGCUAAUUUUUGUCAUCAGAACCUCCAACUUUCAAACCAAAACAAUUUCAUCCUUUGAAAUUCAAAACAAACACAAAGGCCAACAUAGCAUCUAGGUCAUCUUCACAAAGAUUUAUUAACCGAUUAUUGAUAAUAAUCAAAUGAAUUUACAAAGAGAAUAUCCUAUACAAAAUAAUCAAAGAAUGUAAGAAUCAUAUUUUGAGGUGAUCAAUUGUGAAACUGAUUAUGAAAAAAAGAUAUUAUACACUGAUCUACCCUACCUAACCAUUAGAAUUCAAAGAAAUCUUGUCACAAUACAAUUACAUCAUUUUCCAACACUUAGAUAGGAUUUCCUAUUUACUAGCUUUAUAUUUGAGAUUAUCUUUUAGAAAAUUGAUUACUCUAACAUUACAAUGAUCAGAUUCAUUCCUGUCUUGAUUUAUUAAACCUCUCCUUUUAUAGAAAACAUUAGAUGAAUACACUCUAUAUAUCAAAUGAAUUCUUUAAUCAGGAGGAGAUCUAGUUUUACAACCAAACAUCGGAAAAACUCAAAAUAAAAGAAACCAGAAUUCUAAAAUAUUACAAUUCAAAAUAUUAUAGAGAAAUGCACCUUCUCAAUCUUUAAUAUUGUAUUGCAAAAGUUUAUCUGGAUAUUAACAAAUUCCUGCACUCCAAGACAAGAUUUGCAAAAUAGAUCUCAUUCGUUAGCCAAGAAAAUCUAAGAACUGUCCUAGAAAAAUCUAAUUUUCUAUCCAAAAACUCUAAUUAAUGAAAAGAAAAGUACAAAUCUCUUAGAACUAAUUUUCUUCCUCAACAAAAUGACAAGUUUUUUUGGGCACUUGAUUAGUUUCUUGCCUAAUCAUAGCUUGACACAUGUAUAACAUAGAUCUUAUGAAAAUCUCACACUAAAUCUCAAUUUUGAUCUCUGUUAUUGUUAGCACAAACAAAUUCGUUAAAAAGUGUAAAAAUCAAUACCCAAAUGGAUACCCCGUCUUCAUCUUGUUCCAAAAGUAAAUUUGAAACAACAAAAUCAAUACUCCUCGAUAAGUAAAGAUAUUACUUCCUUGUAUCGAAACUUAUUUUGUAUUUCGAAAUGAAUUUCCAAAUCUUUCCUCUUAAAAUCAAUACCAAGAGAUAGCAAGCCAUACAUUAAUCUGCAUAUUGAUAUGAAUGUCUCAUAGCUACUUCCUUAAUCUCCUACUUCCAGUGAGUUUGUAGGUUUGUUGAAUUUGAAUUCGAUCACUAACGACAAUACCUGAUGAUAGCUUUCUUUAUUGUCAAUUAUCUAAUGUCAAACUAAUCAUAUUGAGGUAUCAAAAUCUAUUUCAAUUCCUUCAUUUUAUAUAGUCUAGUGUGUCAAAAUGCACAUCAAUAGUUUCCUCCUACAUUAUCGCCAUGUAUUGAAAUGGUGAUCCUUCUCUACAUAUCUUCUAUUUAAGUGCUUACAAUUGUUCCAAUCUUACUAUAGAAAAGAUUCAAUUAUGCAAAAAUUCUUAUUAACUUUCGGUAUUAGUUCCAAAAUAGAGACUAAACACAAUUAUAGGUUAAAAUUGUUGAACUAUGUGCAAACACCCUCAAUAUAUCAUCAAUUAUGCCUCUAAAACUAUUCAUUUUACACUCAUAUCAAUAUCUUCCAUUAUUAUCCUUUCUUGUUAGAUUGUUAUUAUUGUGAAGGAAUUUUGAACUAGUACAAGAGAAAUACUUAUUAUGCUCUGUGUAUUAGUUAUUCUCAUUAAUUCCCACAAACCCUCAACAAAACUUAUAUCUUUAAUAUUUUUCUCUUGCAGAUUCAAGUUCUGGAAAUUUUCCAAAAUUGGAAAAGCUACAAACGUUAAUGCUUGAUUCCAAUGAACUCGAGAAUCACAGCCUUCAAUCUCUAGGAGCACUCACUUCCCUUAAGAAUUUAAGUCUUGCAAGUAACCAACUUUCAUAAUGGUUUCCUUUGAAUGGUAAAGUAGUUCCUAAAAGCUAAUUUCUUUCCAUUGUGUAUUUUCUCCCUUACUAAUCAUAUCCUUUGACAGAAUUGGAUACUUUGCAAAACUUGCAAAUAUUGGAUCUAAGUGGGAAUGAGUUCAAUACAGCGGAAAUGUUGAAAGGUAAAAUCUACUCCUAUGUUUGCACUCUUACUUUGUUUUUUUCAAUAGUUCAAUGAGCAAAUUUAAGGUUUUUUUUCUUUUUUUUUUGGUUAUGUUACAAGGAAAACUAAUUUAUGACAAAAGGAAAUUUCAUUAUUAGAAUUGAUAAUUAAAUUGCUUGUCCUAAUCCUUAUACUUGUACUUAAGGUCGAAGAAUUCUAGGAAAAAGUAGUCAACUCCUUAAAAUGAUUUUGAUAUCCUAGCAUAAACUCUAACGAACAUAAAAAACAACUAUGUCUAGCUAUAAGAAAUCCUAAUGUAAAACAAAAUCUAAGGGUCUGUUUGGUAAUUGUUUUUGAAAAUAAUUAUGAAAAAUAGUUUUUGAAAAUUAUUCUUUGAUUUUUGUAGAACAAAAGUCUGUUUGGAAACCUAAAAUAUUUUUAAUCUAUCUUUAAUAUUUUAUGUUUUAAAAAUAAUUUUUAUAUCUAGUGCUCUAUUUUUAAUCAUUCUACAUGUUUGCAUAAAUUUUUUUUUUUAAACAAUCUUUAAAAAAUAAGUGAAAACAACAUAAAACAACUAAAAUAUGUUCUCUUAAAAUACCUCAUUUUAUAUUCUUAAGAACAUAAAACAAAAAACAAUUUUUAAUUAUCAAACGUGUUUUCUGUAUUUUUUGUUCUAGAAAAUAGAAAAUUAUUCUAAAAAACAAUUCCCAAACAGACCCAAAAUUACUAAUUCUAAGAACAAAAAUUUUCAAAAUUUCAUCUUCGGGAUUUACUCCUUAAUUUUGAAAUAUGCCCCAUUCAUUUCUAGGAACAUUCAUAACUUCUCUCACUUAUUCAAUUUAUUUUUCUCAUGUAACAAUUUGGUAAUUAGUCUAACUCUUGUUUGUUUAUAUUGAUAAAAAGUUCUUUGUUUUGUGCAAUGAUCGAUUUUCAAGAUAAUCAUGAAAAAAAGAAAAAUGAAUUAAAAAAAAAAAUCAGGUUGUUUGAGUAAGCAUUAACUUUGAAACUAGAAAGAUGUAGGCUAUGUGCAAGUAAAUUACUAAUAGCUAGUUAUUUCAAUCUAGUAGUAUGUAGAAAAUUUUCUAUCUCAUAAUUAUUUUUUUAUUUUAAUUCUAUUAUUUAAAAUGUAAAGAUUUAAUUAGAACAUAAUAAUUAUAAUUAAAGUCCUAAAAAGUCUUGAUUUAAUUAUAAUUAUUAAAGAUUAUUAAAGAGUUAAUUAGAACAUAAUAAAUAUAAACUUUUUUUUCUCUUCUUUUUUCUUUGGCAUUUUUUCUUCUGAUGGUGAGAUUUUUUGUGUUAUUUUUAUUUUUUUGUCUAAAAUUUAAAUAGAUGUAAAUAGAGUUAAAUAUCAUUUCAUCUAUUUAUUUUUUAUUGGUAUUUGAAUACUUUUAAAUAUUAAUUUUUUAUUAAUGUUUGGAUACUGUUUAAUUUAAAUCUAAUAUAUUAUGGUAGUGGGAUUAAUUAUUAUGCUUUUAACUAUUUUAUAUAAUUAAAGAUAACAAUGCUUGAAAACCAACCACUCAUACUUGUAAUUUUUUGGGUGAUCAACCUGGCCAACCUUUUUGCAAAGUUUCAAUUCUUUUAACCAUUUCACUUUGAGAAUAUCCUCAAACAUUUUAAGGACAUUAGAGUCAAGAAAUGGAUACUUCACAUUUUCUCUAAAAUAAAGAUCUUUAUUUUCCUUUACCCUCUAGGUUGGUAAAUGGAAAUGAUUAUUUAUGAUGAAACAAAAAUAAUUGAAUCUGACCAUAAAAAAUUUUAGAAAAUGAACAACUAUUCCUAUUCAUUGGCCAGGUCCAAUCCCCAUUCAGUGUUCUUUGUUUUAUUCUAUUUUAUGUUUGGAAAUUUAUCAUGUCUAAACAAAAAAAAAAUAUAUAUAUCUAUUUUUUUGAAGAGAUUUGCCUAGAAAAAAAAUCUAUUUUGUUAAAAAUAAAAUCUAUCAUGCAUAAAAAAAACCUUGAUUAAAGUUAAUUUUAUUCUCUAGAUAGAUUAUUUUGUUUUUCUUUUUAAUUAAUUUUUUAAUUUUUAAAAUUUUUAGUUUAUUUUCCUCUCAUUUAUUUUAGGAAACUAUUAAAGAACAAUACUUUUUUCCUUUUUGGAUAAGGUGCUCUCUAGAUUUUUAUUGUUUCAAAUUUUCUUACACCCUAAUCUUAAAUUGGAAUAAUAAAUGACUUUGAAAGUUUUUAAGAUGGAUAUUGUUAAAGAGAUUACUAAGGUUUAAGGAAACUUAAUAAUAUUAUGAAGAUUAAUUUCUUUGAAAAUAUUAAUACCAAGAUAAAAUAUUUAUUAAAUUGGAAUAAUUAAUGUAUGAAAAAGGAGAAAAAAAUAUCAAUUUUAGAGCUUCUUUUGAAAAUCAAUUUUUGAAUAAAACACUCAUAAUUUUUUAACAUUUUUCAAGAUGACCUUCUUCUUUUACAUUAGGAUUCAAAUUUAGGGAAUAAAUAUUUUUUUUGAAAAUUUUCAUAAAAACAUAGUUAUCCAUCAAGAUAUUACUAAAUUUUAAACUCUUAAUUAGCUUAAAUGAUUAAGUGAGAAAGGGCCUUUGUAAAUUCCACAACAUCUAUUAUCAAGCUUAUCUUGAUUUAUGUCCUAAGAAAUUUUAGAAGAAAGAUUACAUGAAGAUAAUACCCUAUGUCCCUACAAUGGAUAACCUUAUAUAUGUGAUAUAAUGUACUAGAACGAAUAUUUUCUUGGUUGUAGGGAUGAUAAGUAGGUAUCAGUUCAAUCUGGAACUAGAGCAUUGGACGACAAUCAAGUAUAUACAUUCAAGUAUCUUAAGAGAAUGAUAAAUUAUGUGCUUGUGUGUCACUUUGAUGAGUUGGUACCCCUUGGUUACACAAAUUCAAACUUUCAGUAUAAUAAAGAGCCUCGUAAGUCUACCUUUAGGUUUCUGUUCACUCUAGGUGGUGGGAUUGUUAGUUGAAGAAAAGUGAAGCAAUUGUGCAUUGUUGACUCUACUAUGAAAACUGAGUAUGUUACACCUUUAAAGUAGUAAAGGAAUCCAUUUGUCUUAAGAAGUUCUUUAUGGGACCUAGAGUAGUUUUGUUGGUAAUAAUAUUUUGUGAUAAUAGUGAGGCAGUGGCUUAGUCUAAAUAACUAAGAAACCACCGAAAAGGUAAACAUAUAAAGAAGAAGUAUCAGAGAAGAUACCUUUUACAGAGAACCUAGUAAAUCCCUUCACCAAGACUUUACCUAGCAAAGUCUUUGAGAGUUAUAAAGAUAUCAUCAUAGGUACACCCAGCAUGCUUUGAGGGCUAGUGGGAGUUUGUUAGGAUAGAGCCCUUAAAAGCAUGACAUGAUGUAACAAAAUAAAUUUUCAUUAAUAAAUUUAUAUAUUAUGAUUUACGAUUCCACUUUUCUAUCCAUGAUUGCAUUAGUUCUUAUCUAAGCCUUCACACCUAUAUCACUUGCAUUGUAAAUGAAUUGGGUGUAUUACGAGUUAUAUAAAAGAUCCAAGUCAUGAGUUACUUGCAAGACCAUAACGAGUUCAUUAUCAAUUAAUGGAAUUAAGCAAUCCAUUUGAAAUUGUUGUGUACUACCUCCUAAUUGAAGGAAUGAUUUGUCUUGAUCUUCAAAAUUGGUUUCCCAUGAUGAGUGCACUAGUGUGUAUAGUUGCACAUUGGAGAGAACCUAUAGUGAAUCAUGACAUUGGCUAUUGGGUAAUCAUGACUUCAUUAAGCUACUAUGUUGCAUGGGCUCUCAACCUUGAGAGAAUAUUCAACUAGUGUUAAAGUCUUUAGUAGCUUUAACUUAUGGGUGAACCCUAAGAUGGUCAUAGAUUCCUUACAGAUUGGUUCACUAUUGAUUAAGGCAUAAUGACAAAGCUAUUCUCAAGAUAGGCACCUUGAUAUCUCACUGGAUUGAGGUAAUGUGUCCCCUUGAGUGAUCUUAAAGACUCGUGAUUAAGUAAUCUAUAAUCAUAGUGAUUGCUUGAGUGGAAUUUGACAUGUCCUUUAUAGACUAGAAUAUGUCAAUUGAUCACAAAAUAAGAGGACCUAAGACUCAAGGAUUGUGGAGGUAAUUCCAAAAGUUUGAUAGCAUCUACCUAAUUAGAUUAUAGAGACCAAUGCCUAGAGAGUACAUGUAGUUAAUAGUAGGUCACAAACCCAAGAAAUUUUUAAUUAAAGUGGAUUUAAUCAAUUUUCAUCUCGAUAUAAUUUCAUAGGAUACUACAAUGCAAUUGACUCACUUUCAUGGAGUUUUGAGUCAACUUCAUAAUUAGAUUAUGAGGAAGCCAAUAUUUUUCAAUGAGUCUUAUUGGUCCCUACUUUGGUAGAAAGCUUAAGAUAUAUGGAGAAUAAUCAUUUAUAUGUAUAAAGGUGUUUUGGUAAAAGUGUAAUAUUGCACAAGAUUUUAUGAUUAAUUAUUUUUUUCUUGAUUAGAUUAAUUGAUUAAUUGGAGCCUAACCAGACUAAUUAAUUAAUUAAGACCCAAAGAGUUAGAUUAAGUGACUCAAGCCCAAAUUUGGUAAAAAUCACUUAAACAAACAAUGAAGUCUACAUAAUCUUAGUGGUUUAUAGUUAGAUAGACCCUUAACCAAUGUCUUCUAGAAAGCCUCCAUCUCUCCCUCAUAAGGUGUGUAGCCACCCUACAUAGGUGUCAAAGUUCAAGGAAAAGUGAUCAGGUGGAAGAUCAUGAAGUGUUUAAGAUCUUCUUCAUCAAUUGGAAAUAAAUCAAGGAACAUUCAGAUCAAAAGGUAAAUUUUUUAAGCACCUAGGUCUACUUUUUUGCAUUUUAUGUUUUUCGUUGAGAGUAAAUCUAGUUUCCCUAGGUUAUUAGAGAGCAUUCGCCUAUGAUCUAGUAGUUUUCCCAGCAAUUUGAUGCAUUCCAAAGCUUUCAAAACCAAAGUAAAAUUAAUUGAGGCUUUCAUGGAGGAAGUUCUUUCUACAUUUUAAUCAAGGAAGCAAUUAUGUCCUCAAGAACCUGGCCUAAAAAUAAAGGUUGAGAAGAUAUAAGUGCUACAGAGGUUGAGGAUGGUAUGAACAUGAGUGGCGAGGAAAGAAAUAGAGAAAAAUAUAGCAAUUGAGCGAAUAAGGUAGAAUGACACUCUUAUUUUGAUUAUCCAUGGUUUUUUUGUAAGGGUAUGGUUUUAGGGUGACUCUUUAUUAUCAAUGCAGUCAAUGAUUUUUAAGUAUCGCUCUGGUUGUUUACAAUUUAGGUGACGCUUAGCUGUUAGAAUUUGUCUAAGGUCUUCAAAUGCCUUUAAAUAUGGUCAUUGAGGUUGUAAAGAGUGUUGCUCUAAGUGGGUUCUUAGUUUGAAUGACUCAUAAGAAUACUCCAUUUAAGCCGUUAGAGGUCGCCCUAAAGGGCUGCUUGAAUAUCCCAUACACAAACGUCCUUUAACCAUUUGGGCCACUAGGGACUAUUCAAAAAUGGGUUAUCUCAAGGUGGUAUUACACCUAAGCAACUAAAGUCUCUUAAGCAAAUUCCCUCAAGGGAUUUGGGUCACUAAGAGACACUAAAAAAAGGGUCAUCCUAGGUAGUUUACUCAAUUAAGGUCCCUUAAGCAAAUUCCCUUGAGGUUUAGACCACUAAAGGUUGCUUGAAAAAUGAUGGUCUAAGGAAAGUACUCGUCUUAGGCGACCGAGGUUUCUUAGGCAAAUGUCCUUAAGAGAUUUGGACUAUUAAGGGUUGCUCGAAAAACGUCAUCCUAAGAAAGUACCUCACCUGGGUAAUUAAAGUCCCUUAGGAAAAUGCCCUUAAGCUUUGCAAUUGAAUUAUAUAUCAUUGUUGGUAAUCAAUGCUCGAGGAGUAUCAAAUCUAUAGAUGAUGUUCUAGAGUACAUAUUGUAAAUAUCUUUUUACUUUCCUGAUGUGUAUGUUUAGCUUUAACCAAUCUAGUGUAAUAGUCAGUAGCUAGUAGCCAAGAGCAUAUACUAUUUUUACCUUGGUGUUAAUGGCAUGGGUUUGAUUAUGUUCAAGCCCCAUUUUGCAAAUGACUAGGAUGCAUUUUUGCAUAGAUUUUGUCCAUCUUUUUAGUGUCUAGUAUUACAUCAUCUUGUAAAUAUUAGACAUAAGGUUUCAUCCAUUCUAUGUUUCUUUUAUGAAUGAUAUAGACCAGUAUGGACCCAUCUAUAUUGGGGAUGUCUACUCAUUCUAAUAGGAAUUCUUUAUCAAGUGCUACUCCUUUAGAAACUCUAAUAGCUAAAAAUUCUAACUCUUAGUUCCAAGGCUAAGGGACACGAGUUAUAGUGACUUCCUAGAAUCACUACACCAUUUCCCAAACCUUUUUAAAGAUAUUUCACUAUGGUUGGAUCUCAUGCCUCAAAGAUUCAUAUAACUUGUCCAACCAUGAGUUUGGAAUCACUAAAGAUUUAGAGCAUGAUUGUCUUUACACUCAAAGCUAACCACAAUCAUGCAAGCUAGGCCUCAUAUUUUGCUUUAUUUUUUGUGAUUUUGGAUCCUAACUGGAUAGCAUGCUUUAUAUUAACUCCAAUUAAGGAUUUAAGCAUACCUUAAUCCUUGGGGGUGUGUGAGUUAUGAUAUGUCCACAUAUAAUGUCUAUAUUUCCAAUUAUAUCAUUGUCCUCACUAAAGUAAGGCUUACCAUUGAAGUCAACUACAAAAUUUGCAAUAACAUGGGCUUUGAAAGUCAGGGAUGGUCAUAUCUUAUAUUGAAUUUGUUUAGUUCAACUAACCACUUGAUCAUUCUCCCUAAGAGGUUGGCUUUGGCUAGAAUCAUGCGCAACAACCAUUUUGUCAUGACUUUUAUGGUAUGUACUUGAAAGUAUGGCCUUAGUUUCUUAGAUACUAUAAAAAGGUCAUUAAUUCUAUGGGUACAUAGUGAUUCUCUGCAUGUAUGAGUGUUUUUCUAAUAGAGUAUAUUGGGCAUUAUGUUCCUCUUUGUUCUCCCUUAAUGAGUGCAUAAUUGAUAGCACAUUGUGAGAUGGUUAGGUACAACAUAGGAUUUUUUUGUUCCUGAUGUAACCAAGAUUAAGGGAAUUGUUAGAUAUUCUUCAAGUUUCAAAAAGGCAUCCUCAUAGGUGUUAUUCCAACUGCAUUCUAAUUAUUUUUUCAAUAAUUCUAAGAUGAGUUAGUAUUUAUCUAUGGUCCUAACUAUGAAUCAUACUAAUGCAACUAAUCAACCCAGAAAUUUUUGUACCUCCUUUGUGGUGAUAAUAAAUGGCAUCUGAAAAACAACCCAGAUUUGUUCAAAGUUGGCCUUUAUUCCUUGUUGCGUCACUAAGAAUCCCAACAACUUUCUAGAGGAAACACCUAAGACAUAUUUGAUGGUAUUUAACUUUAUUUAGUGCCUUUGCAAUAUGGUGAAGACAUGGAUGAGAUGCUUGUAGUGGUUCACUUUUUACUUGCUUUUGAUUGACAUGUCAUCCAUGUAAACCUUUAUAGUCUACCCUAUUUCUUUAGUGAAUUUAAUUUAUCAUAUGCCAAUAGGUGUUCCCCAUAAUUUUAAGUUCAAAAGGUAUCACUUUGUAACAUAACAAUCCUUCUUUAGUAAUGAAAGCAUAGGGAGUUCUAUCAUCCAUAAAGGUUAAUAACUCAUGUCUAGUAGUGGCAUCGACUAGCUGAUCAAUAUUUAAGAGUGGAUAACUAUCUUUUAGACGUGUUUUAUCAAGAUCAAUAUGAUUUAUCAAGAUUUUCCAUGCCCCAUUCUUCUUAGGGACCACAACUAGGUUGGCUAGCCAAUUGAGGUAAUAGACUUCGUUGAUGAAUCCUAUGGCUAAGAGUCAAGUGACUUCAUUUGUAAUGGCUUGUUGUCAUUUCAAUGUGUACAACUAAUUUUUUAUUUUAUUUUUUAAUAGGUGUCAUGGUCUGGUGAUAUCCUAACAUGAUUUCGACUUUCUAGGUGAAAAUAUCUUGGUUUUCCUUUAACACCUUUUGGAGUCAUGCUUUCUCUUGUAUCAUGAGUAGUCUUCCAAUCAUUACAUUUUUUAAAUAGAUUUUUAGCAUUAGUUCCAACUUUUUUGCUAUUAGCAACUACCAUAUUGGUUUUUGUCACCCUUCAUUUCCUAGUCACCCGAUGAUUGUUAUUUAAGGGUUAGCAAUGGUUUGAGUUUCUUGCUUUGACUAACUUUUACCAAUCUUUUUAAUAGUAAUCAUUACAUGGCACCUUUAGGUCAUUGCUUAGUCCCCUUAAAGGAGAUAGGUUCCCUCUUUGCUAGGAAAUUUGAUGUUUUGGAUGUGGGAAUAGGAAGUAGUUGGUAGAUUGUGUAUCUCAAGUCAUCUUAUGAUGAUGUUAUAUGGAGAUGGUUUGUCUACCAUCACAAAUAAUGUAGGGCAUUUGAUAGGUCUUACUAUCAUGGGUAGAAUCAUGAUUUCUCCCAAGAGGUUAACUAAUGUCUAACUUGAUGAGAGCACAUGAGGGUGCUUGUAGCAUUUCUUUGGUUAGUCACAUAAUUCAUACAUUAGCUAGGAAGAGAUAUCAAUUGUGCUACCAAGGUCGAUUAGAACCUGUCAAACUUUAAAGUUUGCAACCUUUAGCAUUUUAAGUAAAAGAUCCUAAUUCGUCCUAAAUCUUGGCUAGAGAAGGUGAGUACGCUGUGAUCGAUCCUUCAUAAGUUACUUUCAUGACCAUAUGGGUGGCUAAUUCUUCGAGACCUUAUCGACGUAGCUCCUAAAGUUCUCUCUUUUAGUCACAAAUAGCCAAUGGUCAACCAUGAAUAGUGGCAAUCACUAUGGUGGGGGUUAAUUCUCUUGGUGGUGAUGAAAUUCAUUCUUCUUUAUUAUGGGUUUCUCCUCUUUUAGUUCAUUUGUUGUCAAUGAACUCCUUCAAUUUUUCUUACUUGAUCAUCUCAUCCACACACCUUUUCAAACCACAAUACUCAUCGAUCUAGUAGUUAUGAUCUUCAAGGAAGGAAGUAAGUAAAAAUAUCUAUUAAGGUGCCUCUCUACUACUCCUGAUGUAGAGAUUAGGGAGGCCAAAAGUCUCCCAAGGCUUUAAUUUCCUAGAGAAUUUUUUGGUAUAAUACCUUAAGUAGUGGUGUAUAUAUUAGGUGAGGUUGUUCAUACCUUCUAAUAUCAUAUUUCUUCUAGUCAUUUCUUCCCUCUUAGUCAACCUCCACUAUUUCAAUGUUGUCUUCGUUGGGAUUAAGCCCCUAAAAGCAAGACAUAAAGUAACAAAGUUAGGCUUGAUUAUCCUUUUGCUAUCUCUUUUAUGCAUUGACAUUAAUGUGAGGAUUUAGCCCAUAUCUCUUACAUUAUACAUGACUUGAGUGCAUUGAGAGUUGCACAUAGGAUACAAGUCAUGGGUUCCUUAUAAGUCAAUAAGUUAUCUACAAUCAGUUCAUGGAUAUGGGCAAUUCAAUAGAUAUUAUAGUGUGCUACCUUGGAGGGAUGACUUGUCUAAGUUAUCGGGAUGGGUUUCCCAUGGUGAGCACACUAAUGUAUGUGAUACACCUCUAUACUAUCUCAAAAUUUUGGAACACAAGCACAUAAUCCUUCGUUCUCCAGAGAUACUUGAGUAUAUGCUUAACAUAAUACACUUUUCCUAUUCUUGUAAUACUUAAGGACUUUAAACCUAAGAAUACAUUACAUCCCUUCUAGAACUGAGUAAAAAACUUAUCUUGAUUUAUGACAAUAUCUCUACAUCAUUCCCAAGAAGUAGAUUAUCAUCUAUCUACAAGAUCUUAAAGCACCACCACGCUUCAUUUCUCCUUCUUGUACACACAAGGGUCAUUGCUAUUAAAAUAUCUCAUUACAUCAUGUAGAUGUUAUUAUCAAGAUAAUAAAUUAAGAACACUAUCUUGACAUCCUAUUGCAAUACCUCAUAAAUGAGAUACAUCGCAAUGGAUAUGACUACUCUAAUAGAUUUGAGUAUGGCUAUUAGUGAAAAGGUUUCUUGUAGUUGAAACAAUGUUUCAAACUAUAACCUUUCGCUAUAACCUAGCCACAUAAAUCUCCACCUUUUCCAUCUACUCCUUUGUUCCUCUUAUAGACUAACUUACACUUAUGGCAUUGAUCCCUUCAAAUAUUUCUACAGGAACCCAGAUUACGUUAGAAUCACAAGGAUUCUAACUAUUCUUUCAUAACUUCUUGUCAAGUCAUGAGCACCAACACGCUCAUUACUUCAUUAUAAUAUCUAGGGUAUAAACCUCCCAUUAUGAUGAGGUACUCAUGUACUGGAAGUAAUAGGAAUGGUGUGUCUCUAUACCUUUGGAUCUAUAGUAUCUUGUGUAUAGUAGGAUUAUCUUCUAGUGUUGUCCAAUCUAUAUCACUAUUUGCCUUAUUACAUAUUAUAUAGUCUUCACCAGAUAUCCAGCAUUUGUAGCAACAAAUAUCUUCUAAUAAUCUUGACUAUAAAGUAAUAAUCCUAAAAUCCACUUGAAUAUCCUAUAAACUAAUAUACCAUUUACCUUGCCUCUAUUUAGUCUACCUUUAUGUUCAACACAAGUUCUGGACACUCCCAUAUGUGAAUUUAUUGUAAACUAAGUUUACAACAUGUUCACAUCUCUCUAAAAGUUAAAGGUACCAACCUAGUACAACUUAUGAAGGUUUUGUGACAGUUGAUGAGGAGAGACGGCAAAGAGGCAUCACCUGAAUUAGGCUAGAAUUCUCAUUAAAUCUAGUAGGAGGAACUGAUUGUUGGUUAUGGAUAGAGAAGUUGUCUUUGCUAACUAAUUUUGGUGAGAAGUUGUCUUUGCCAUCUAAUUUUGGUGAGAAGUUUCACCAUGGUUGACCUCUAAGGGGAGUUUUAGAAAUCUAGAGGUUGGAGAUGAAAGGGUGGGUAGUGCACGCACAAUAAGGAGAGUGAAGUAGAACAAUAGGAAACAUGUUAGGGGAGAUUUGCAAGUAUUGGGAAUAAAUCCAAGUCUAUCAUUGCACAUAAUAAUGGAGGCAAAUUGUUCUGAAGAAGAAAACAACAAGGUCAUUAGGCUUUAUGGGUCUUCUGGCUGGUCAUUAGGCCUUGAGUCUUCUAAAGACUUAAUCGUGGGUGUUGGAAGCCUUUUCAAGUCCUUUUAGGGUUUGCCCACAGCAGAAGUCUUAAACUCAAUUGGAAGGAACUAUGGUGUACUUGCUAAAGAUGGGUCAUGCUCAAAGGAUUACCCCAAAGGUCUUUUUUACAACCCCUUUAAUAGAGUUGUGGGUUUUAAGGCCUAAGAGAAUGUUCAAUGUUUUCCUUCUAUAGAAGAAGCUUUGGCAUUCCCCAUGGUGACCUUCAUUGAUCAUCUUUUAAAGGAGACGUUUCUUGGUUCAAUGAAGUGAUUUUCAAAAGUAAUGAGGCCAUUUUAACAAAAAGCAACAGGUUUUGAAGAUAGGUCAUUUCUUCUCCCUGCUCUCUGUUCUUCUUCUACUAGGUCGUAUCCUCGGCAAUGGUCCAACAUUUCAAUCAAAGUUCAGGCAAGCCUUAAGGCCUAUGGGUUCUGGGUGCUAACCCCUAAGGAUGAUACUUUAGGACGUAAAUUUGUUGGAUUUCUUAGGGAAUGUAGCAAAAGAUCCUUUAGGUAAGAAGAUGGUGAUCAGGGCUAAGGAGUUGGAGCCCUUUAAGGUUGUGGGGCCUAGAUGCGUUUCAAUAGGGGAAGAGCAUAGCCUUGAUAACCUUCCCAAUAUGUUUGUUAAUUUUAAUACCUUUAUGCGAUGCCUGCUACAGUUUUUAAAAAAUAAAUCAGCUCUCUACUAAGGAAAAUGAAGGCAAAAAAAAUAGGCAUGGGGUUAAAGAUCUCAAGGGGAAAGACAAAACCUCUCUUAUGAUCUCAUUUGGAGAGGAAAAUCCGAAAACUAGAAUAUCUUAUUAAUUACAAUAGUUAUUCACUUACUAUCAAGGAAAGGAAAUGAGCAUUGGGAAUUCAACGGUUGUUUCGUGAGGUAGCUUUUUCAUUUCCAAUUUGGAAGAUGUAGGUUCAUAGGGGAAUUUGUGUUCUUUCUAGGUUGUGUUAGUUGAUGUAGGUUAAGGGCAUCCUAUGAUUUUUGGAGCUCAUGCUUGUGGCAUUCCAACUUGCUUGGGGGUUGUCAUUGUUAAGGAGAUGGGUGUUUGUUUUUCUAUUCCUUUUAUUACUUUCCUUUUGGCCUUAAUUAUAUACUACGUCUGUACUUUGAUGUGCCUUUUUACUAGCACCUUUAAUAUAUCAUCCUUUUUACUUAUAAAAAAAAAUGUUGAACCAUUGUAUAUACAUUUGUAUCCAUUCAUUAGUGGCUUUUCAAAACUAAAACAGGACUUCUAAUCCCUUUUUUAACUUUAUAGACUAGAUGUAUUGAGCUCUGAAUACAACUCCUAACCCCUCAAAAUUCAAAUAAUGUUAGCAAUAAGUGGUAAACCACACAAAGGUUAGUCCCUAUAUGCUAGAUAAGAAAGCUUUGGAAAGUAACAAGUUAUUUCCUUGCAUUACGAUCACCAUCUAUCUAAUAUGCAAUAGGUGUUCCAAUGAGGUCACCAUCCAUCUAAUAUGCAAUAGGUGUUCUAAUGAGGUCACCUAUCCUAUCAAACAUGUUGAAUUUAGGAAUUAUAAACCCCUUGGGUGCUUCCUCCUAAAGGAUAACUUCACGAAAUGGUAUGGAAGUAAUUAUAUGCAUCACUUGCAAGGUAAAGGGCUCCAUAAUGUAUGUAAUUAAAGGGGAUCUACCCAUCAUGGCUUGGUGGGAGCUUACUUGUUUCUCAAUGGCAUUAGGCUUUGUCAUGCUCCCUUAGAGUUGGUGGGAUCUACUUAUUUUGUGUUUGGUCCCUCAUAUUCGACUUCUACAAGAUUGUUGUGGGUUAAGGAGACUUUGUCAUCAGUUGACUUCAUGCAUUUUCAUGGGUAAGCUCCUUGUUACACUAGUUCAACUUAUCAAGCUAGUGCAUCAUCUCUUUCUUUUACCUUAAAAGUCUUUUUUCCAUUUCCUUCAUCUGCAUUAGAUUCCUGAUAACUGAUUAUCAUCACAAGGGUGCCUACUAUUCGUUCAAGUUUAGACCAUGGUUAAGAUGAUUGAGUGAAAUUGAUGGCUUUUAUGUUUGUUUCUCAUAUACGGUGCCAAUCUAGUGUGGCCUUUUUUAGUUUUGGACAAACAUACCUACACAAAGGAGUGUUAGGGAUAAGCCAGUUAGUUCAUCCUAUUUCCCACGAUCAAUUUAGUUAUGGCUUCAAGCAUGAGCUGAAUAGAAAAAAAUGAACUAGUAUGUGUACCUAACUUUGGUUAGGCUUUAUAAAAUUUGUUUUCUUGGAAAGGCCAGCAAUAAAUUUGUCUCAUGUUAGCUUUCCAAGUAAAAAGUAUCCUAAACCAUUAAACACUUGUAGUACAACAUUCAAUCGUCUCCAUAAGGAUUGAAUGUAUGAUCUUAAUAUUUUAAAUUUGGUUGUGAAAAUAUAAAUUUAUUAUGUUUUCUAAUGAAGAACAAAUCAAAAUCAAACAAUUGUAUAAGGAUUAAAAUGAAAUUUUUGAAUCAAUUUCAAUGUAGUAACAACAACAAAAAAUAGGAAUCUAACAAUUAAUGAAGAUCAUCUAGAAAGAAUCAUGUGAAGACUUAGAUUAACACAUAGAUAGGAUCAAAACUAAAUAAAUUUCUCCUCCACUUAUAGAAUUCAAAAUAUCUUCUACAAUUAAGCCCUAUAUUAUCUCUAACCUAAUCAUAGAACCACACAUAAUUGAUCUAAAAUGAUUCACAAUGAAUCUAAUCAAAAGAAACCAGUAUCUUGAUAUUCCCCUUGCUUAUCCUUUUUAAUAGCUAAUCAAGAGUUUCUACCCUUGUGUCUACAUCAAUUCUCAACAUAUUCCACAAUUAUUUCCAAAGAGGGUAAUAGCUCAAUUAUAGUUUUAAGUUGGUUGACUUGUAUGCUUUUGCUUCAUAAAAUACUCUUUUGAAUAUCUAAAAAUACCAUGAUUUAAAAACAAACCAGUAUGUUAUCUUGGAGAUUAGGUUUCUUCUUAUAGUUAUCUUCUAGUGGAUCAUUUAUGGGAAGAUAAUAGUAGAUGGUAUUGGUUAUAUAUUGCUUUGAAUGAUAUUGAUUACAUCCAUCUUUGAGGUUUUGGUCGCUAUGUAACUAAUGGCGGUUCAUCCCUUAGAUGAGGUUAAGCCUAUUUGUAGUGGUCGUCUUUGUGGAAUAAUAAUGGUAAUGGAUUAAUCAUAUUUAUUGUGUUGUAGUAGGGUAGGUCCCCUAAUGAUGUCAUGCCAAGCUAGCAUAUGGAGAUAGUGUGACAUUUUUAAGAUCUUACCACAUGGAAAGGGAUAUCCACACCCUUACAAUUAUGUUUUAUCUUUUUUAUUAGUCUUCAAGUAAGGUUGACCACUAGAUAAACUAUGCAUGACCUAAUAUUUGUAGGAUAAGUUAUGAAACCAUCAAGCAUUUGUAAUCUUUUGCAUAAGGUUGAGGUGACCAAUCAUCCAAUCCUUGAUUUUCCAUUCAUAAGCUUUUGGUGCCCAUCAUCCAUCUAUAGCUUUUAUUCAUUCAAGGCAAUAUAUAUGAGGUCACUCACUUUCCAUUGAGCACAAGAAAUUUUCUCCAUAAUCUUCAGCAUACUUUUCUUAUGAGAAAAAAAAAAAAAAAAAAAAUCCCCCAUUUGAUUGCCAAACUUGAAUCUAAUCCCAAAUUGGAUCCUUUCUCAUGAGAUUUUUUAUAUCUUCUAUCAUUUUAAAGUCGCAUGAGUACUAUAGAUCAAAUUAUAAACAUAUAGGCAUGCAAUAAGAGAGUCUUCCUUUGACUCAUAUACAACUAUUGUUCACUUUUGCCUAUUUGAAACUCAUUUUGAUGAGAGUAUUUGUAAGUCUUGCCAUUCCAUGACCAUGAAGCUUGCUUUAGGACCAUAGAUUUAUUUAGUUGGUAAACUUUGUCUUCUUACCUUUUUUUAAUAUAACCUUGAAGUUAGUCAACAUGUAUCACCAUUCUUCCAACCCACAAUUAGAGAAAAGCUAAUUUCACAUCAAGUUGAAAAUUCAACUUUAGUGGACAAUAAGAUGACUGGGAAGCAUUAAUUUGAUAAAUAAUUCAAAAAGCAUAUAGGUUUUAGAUUUUCAAUUUUUUUUAUCAAAAAACAUUACUUUUACCACAAUCUCCAACAAAAAUCUAGUAGGAUGAGGCCUAUUGAUCAUAGGACCUAGAAUACGAGUAGUUGCCUACAUGCACGUGCAUGCUGACGCAAUAAGUAUAUAACCUUAGCUAUUUUUCUUGAUCAUAUAUAAAGAAGUAUUAGGAAACUAUUAAGCUAUACCAUAAUGAAAUCUACUGAAUAAAAUAUCAAAACCAUUAAAUGUCUAUGGUGAGAUAUCAUUAAAUAAAGGUACAAACAAAUAGGAGUAAAGUAAAGGGUAUAAACAAAUAUUUGAACUAUGGUACAAACAUUAGAAUCUAAAAAUGUAUAGGUAGCAUCAUCUGAUUGGUGGUAUUUUUUCUGUAAGUACCGAAAAAUAUAUUUUUGUACUAGACCCAAAGUAUUUACAUAAUUUCUACAACCAAUUUCCUUCUUGCAGGUUCUAAAAGCAUCUCAAAUUGGAAAAAGCUUGUGACCUUGGUUCUUAGUGGAAACCAAUUGGACGACAGCAUCUUCCAGUCAUUAAGUACUGCGCUCCCGUCCCUUCAGAAUCUGAUAAUUGGACAGAAUUAUAACUUCAAAGGAUCAUUUUCCGCUAAAGGCAUGUCUAUAUUUGAUAUCAGUUCAAAGAAACAUAUAAGCUUCAUGUGUUAUUUGCAUCUUCAUGUUUCUUUUUUAUGCAGAACUAUCAAAUUUUAAAGACUUGGAGACGUUGGAUCUAAGGACCAAUAAUCUCAAUGGCUCCAUAAAGAUACAAGGUAAAGGAGGGGAAAUGCAAGCAUAUAAGAAUUACGUGAACUUGCUAAAUUAUGUGUUAUACAACAAAAAUUAGUGAAUUAUAUCGGUUUUUUGUUAAUAUUAACCCCAAUUAGCAAAAUGUUUUGCCAAUUUUCCGAAACAAGAAGCCUAACAAUGUUUCCUUAAUCCUAAAUGGUCUAUCUCUUUCAUUCUUUUAACCUACUUCAUUUGCUUGGUUGCAGAGCUAGCUAACAUGAGCAACUUGAAGACCCUAAUUUUGAGAGACAAUCAACUCAGCGGCAUCCAAACAACUCAAGGCAAGGGAAAGACUUUAUUCCUUUUGUUUUGUUUUUCAGUGAUAUCCCCAUUCACACAUUUAAUUUUCAGAACCAAAACUUGUCCAAUUAUGGCGUAAUUUCCGGUUGCCAAAGUUCUAUAAAUAUUUGAUUAUACAAUAAAAUUCCACUGAAUUUUUAUCAACCAUAUUAAAAUGAUCAAUUUCUAAUGAAUUUUUGGUAGGUUUAGUGCCCUUCAACAAUUUGGAGGUCCUGGAUCUGUCUAACAAUCGUUUCACUGGGAGCAUUCCUCCAUAUAUAUGGAACCUGACUUCUCUGCAGGCUUUAUCUUUGGCAGACAACCAACUCACCGGCCCUUUGCCUGUUGAAGGUAAGAAUCAAAUGAAACACUGGGCUAUGUCUGUUAGGUGGUUAAUUAAGGCUUUAUAUUUUUUAUUUCAAUGAAAAAAAAUGAAGUUAUAAUGGCCCAUUACAGUAAGCUUCUAUGGAAAAACAAAAAUUAAUGAGGAAGUAGAUUAACAAUGUUAUAAUGGGCGGGUUUUGCAGGAUUUUGCAAACUGAAGAAUCUUCAAGAGUUAGAUCUCAGUGGGAACUCCUUGGAUGGGAUGUUUCCUCCUUGUCUAAGUAACAUGAGGUCCCUCAAGCUGUUAGAUCUCUCUUUAAACCAGUUCACAGGAAAGAUCCCUUCAUCAUUGAUAAGUAACCUCACGUCUCUUGAGUACCUUGAUCUCGGUUCUAACCGUUUGGAGGGUCGAUUGUCAUUUAGCGCAUUUUCUAAUCAUUCCAAUCUGGAAGUGAUUGUUCUAUCAAGUGACAGCGACAUAUUUGAAGUGGAAACUGAAAGUACAAGUUGGGUUCCCCAGUUUCAGUUGAAGAUUCUUUCGUUGGCAUACUGUAAUCUAAACAAGCAAACCGGCAUUAUUCCUAAGUUCCUGUCUCAACAGUAUGACCUGAUAGCGGUUGAUCUGCCUCACAAUGACUUGAAAGGAGAGUUCCCCAGUGUGAUACUUGAAAACAACAGAAGAUUAGAAUUUCUAAAUCUGAGGAAUAACUCUUUAAGGGGUGAAUUUCCACUUCCACCUUAUCCUAAUAUAUAUACUUUGUGGGUGGAUGCUUCACACAACCACCUUGGUGGGCGACUUAAAGAAAAUAUGAAGGAGAUGUUUCCCUAUCUGAGAUACCUGAAUUUGUCGGGAAAUGGCUUUGAAGGUCAUAUUCCAUCCUCGAUUGGUAACCAAAGUAGCACCUUGGAGGCUUUGGACUUGUCCAACAAUAACUUCUCAGGAGAAGUACCGGUGCUGUUGAUUGAAAGAUGUCCUCGUUUAUUCAUCUUGAAUUUAUCAAACAACAGACUACAUGGCCAAAUAUUUUCAACACGGUUCAACAUGCCUGAAUUAUCAUUUCUUGGUUUGAACAAUAAUCACUUCACAGGGACACUAUCCAAUGGAUUGUCAGAAUGCAAUCAGCUACGAUUCCUGGAUGUGAGCAACAACUAUAUGUCAGGUAAAAUUCCUACAUGGAUGCCUAACAUGACAUAUUUGGAUACUCUCAUCUUGAGUAAUAACUCAUUCCAUGGUCAGGUCCCCCAUGAAUUUACCAGGCUAAAGCUUUUAGACCUUUCUGAUAACUUAUUUGCUGGGUCCUUACCUUCUCUCAAAACCUCAAAAUUUCUCAUGCAUGUGCAUUUGAAAGGAAACAGAUUCACGGGAUCAAUACCAGAAGACUUUCUCAACUCCUCAGAAUUGCUAACAUUGGAUCUUGGAG